rnacentral:lncRNA from 1 species
UUUUUUUUUGGUUGGGUGUGACCAUGGUCCCUGCCCAGUUCCGGGCCACAGGAAGGCUCCUCCGCCUGCAGGAUGGAUGAGACAUCCAAAUUUUGUAUCCUAGCUAAAGUGCACCACAAAUAUUAAUAUUAAUAUUCUCGUAUAUAUGCCUAUUACAAACUUGUUUCUUGUUAACGCCAAACAUGAAUUGAAGGCAGUUUACAAUUAAUUUGCAAAAAGAUAAAAGAGGACUGGGCAGAGCAUCAUCAGUUGUAGACGCAGCUGCCGUCGUCGCUUCUGGCUGUUGGGUCGAAGUUGCCGGCCUUUGGGUCGGUGCACCCCUCGGGCACGGGCACGCCCACCUGCUGCGCCGCCUUGCCGUAGUACAAGUUGCCGGCGGUGAUGGCUUCGUCGUGGUUGGCGUCGCCGAGCGCCGCCUCGCUGAGGUACUUGUCGGCCAGCUGGACGCGCUUGACGUUCUCCUGCUCCGCCACCAGCAUGUGGCCGUACUCGAGCAGCUUCUCCAGCGUCAUCUUGGGCUGCUGGAACGUCGGCGGGCCCUCCCUGGAGUUGACGAGCUUCCGGCCGAUGUUCUCGAUGCCGGUCUCGGCGACCCACCGGCGCACCUCGUCGUCGUACACCCGGGCUCGCAGCGCGCCGAAGAAGUCGAUGGACUGCCCCGGGAAGGUGUCGACGAGCUUCACGACGGCCUCGUCGGGGACGCCGUCGGUGCGGAAGAUGCCCUUGCAGACUCCUAUCCUAUCCUCGCGGGUGGGCGCCCAGUAGAACUUGUCCAUGCGGCCGUCGCGGAUGAGCGGCGCGUACAGCGUGGAGAAGUCGUUGCCGGUGACGACGAUGGGGACACGGGGGUUCUCCUCCUUGUUGUACAUGCCGGGGAGCUGCACGUUGGUGGGGUUGUCGGCGAUGUUCAUCAGGGUGGCGUUCACCAUCUGGUUGUUCACCGUGUACUGCGUGGUGCCGCCCAUGCGCCCGGCGCCGGCGUCGAGGUCGUUGAUGAAGAGCACGCACAUCCUGCCCUUGCUGAUGAUGUCGGCGGCCUCGCGGUAGCGCUGGCGGAUGAGCUUGGCGGGCUCGCCGGCGUUGCCGCUCUCCAGCUCGCCGGCGCUCAUCAUGACGGGGUUGAUGCCCAUCUUGGCGAAGACGAGCUCGCACUGGAAGGACUUACCCUGGCCCUUGCCCCCCCAGAUGCCCAGGAUGAGGGGCACCUUGAUGUUGGGCAGGGACAUGAAGUUCUUGGCGAUGUGGACCACCAGCUUGUCCAUGAACGCCGGAGCGAUGUAGUAGCCGUCCAUCAUGUUGUCCAGGUUGUACUGACGGAGACCCUGGCUGAGGUACUCGUAGGAGCUGAGCACGGCCUCGUGGGUGCCGUCGCCCAUGGGCGCCUGGAACAGGGAGUCCACCAGGCCCUUGCCGCGAGUGAUGUCCUGCUGGUCGUCGGAGAUGUCGUGGGCGAGGCCCCUCCACCUGUCGCUCUUGGUCUGCUUGGUCUCGUCCACGGCCUCCUUCUUACUAUUGCUGGCCGACGCCGCCAUCGCCAUGACGACGACUCUGCUUCGACGGUGCUGCUUCCUGGUGGUGAUGAGCUUCUUCUUCUUCUUCCCAACGCCGAGGAAGCUGCUCGGCGUCGAGGCCAAAUUUAAAGCAGCAGCAGCAGCAGCAGCAGCCAUCUCGAUCGAUCGAUCUCAAGAUUAUUGGACGUACAAAUUGAAUGGGAUUGAAGAUGAUGACGAUGAGUUGUAGUAUAUAUAGCAGGGUAAAGAUAUGUAGCUGCUAAAUGGAUGAGCAGGCAGUAGCUAGUGUGGUCUGGAUGCUUCCCGAUUGCUCACUGGAUCUCCAGAACGUUAACGAACAAGUGUGCAGUGGUGGCCUGGUGGGUACGUGAGGCUGAUGAGUGGCCAGCAUGUUAGUACGUCCAUCCAAACACUGCUAUCCCAGCCUGACAUGCGUACGCUGUCGAUCGGAUGGGCCGCGUGGGCCCCCACCCUGGAUUUAGCAUUUGAGUACCGCUCUAUCCAUCCAUCCUGUUUUAGCACAGCUUUUUUAAGUGUUUAUAAAUUCUUACUAUAUAUCUUGUAUGUCUAAGAAAAAAAAUAAAACAAACUACAAUUUAAAAUGGAGGGAAUAUUUAGAAAAAAAAUAGGCCAUGUUUGGACCGCAUAUACCGGCUCCAGGGAUCGCCAAAAUGAUUGAGCAAGAACCGAGGUUUUACUGAACCCUUGCAUUAACCCUCAAUCUAUGAGCUUAGUGCGCUAAGGUCGUUGGGUUGGGGAAAAAACUCAUCUUUAGUCGUACUUGCAUUGGAUGGUUCUUAGCGAUUUCAAGAUUAGCCGCUAGACGAUCGCAUAACCUUUGAUCUAACGGAUGACCACCGGGAGCCUUGUUUCUACUCUUCUGUCACGUUUUAGAUACUUGAGUCUCGAGGCUUUUGUCAAGAGAGAACGAAUUGAAGGAUCCAUACAGCUUUUACAAAGCAUGAGAAUCGAAAUUGGCGAUCAUCUCCACGUAAGGGGAGAAGACGACAGGGUAUGCAUGGCGAGCUCAGCAGCUGGCUGCAACGAGCUCUCUGCCGCAGCACGCAGCAGCUGGCGUGCUCCUCGAUCUAGAUAGAUUGUAACGUUUUCGUCAGCGCCCCUCGAUGCCGCCCUGGCUCUCCAUCGGAGUUCCUUUCUCCACUUCCGGUCACAUCAAUCUCCAUCGGCGGCUGUGGCUCACGGCUUCGCCGGAGGUGCCGGAGAGUCCAUUUGUCCAGGCCUCGCCGGCGUGGAGCGAGCGAGCGACCGACGACCUGGGGACGUCGGCGUUCACCCGGAACGCCGCGUGGGAGAGGAGAGGCGACAAAGAAAAAAAAAAAGAAGGGAAGCGUCAAGAGUACUGGUCGUUUUCGCCCUCUAUCUGAGGAGUGUUGAAAAGAAUUAUUGGAAUGGAACAAACCAAAAAAUAUUGAAAAAAGGAAGAUGCAUUUCCAAUACUAGUCGUUUUUUUGGGAAAGAGAGACCUUUUUUUUGAGGGGGGAAAAGAGAGACUGAUGCUCUGAGGAAUUGAGGAAACACAGGUACCAAAAAAAGAAGAGGGAGAAAACACAAGCCGGGCCUUAACGGGCGGCCAGGCUAUGGCCCGCUAAGGCACGGCCCGUUAAGGCCCGCUCGGGGUCCCCAUCCCACCACGCGCCCCUCCCAAGCCCAUGGGUCGUGGCUGGACUUAUGGGGGGAUCAUUCAUGGGGCAGCAGCUUCUCAUUUCUAGGACUCUGUUUCUGAUAUUGUUCCCGCUGCAUCUGCUCAUCCCCAUGGUGAAUGUUGCUGUUGAUCUGUAGAUUGGAUUUGUUGGUCGGUAGUUUGAUUAGAUUUGUGCUGAAUCAUAAUCUCUGCCUGUGAUAUUUUUCUUCAUUGUGGAUGUGUGCCGAGUAUUAUCCCCUUUGUUCAUUCUGUUGGCUUGCUUUCAUUGAUCUUAAGAUAACUGGUGUCAUAAAUUCACACUAGCUGAUGCACUUGCAGAUAGCUAUGUAAAUAUGAAAAAGAAGUAUUUUUUUAUCCUUUUGUUUUUUUUGCAUCAUAUCUGUUUAAAGGUACAGCAUUAGGAUUUUUUUUUGUUUUUGGGGAAUCAUAUCUGCUUAAAUGGUAUAGAAAAUGCUGAGCGUACUGUCAAAUAGAUUUUCCAGCAGUUUGCUUUCAGUUGUUUGCCGCGCAUUCAUUGGGGAAGCACGCGCCAGGCAUCACCAGGCUCCUCGUGCCCCUGCUCUGCUCCAAGGACUCGGUGCUUCGACGCGCUGCUUUCCCUGUCCGGCGGGCGGGAACGUUGGGAGAUGAACGAUGGAGGAUGGAGCUGACCCUCCUGUACACGGUGCCGGUGGGGAGCAGGUCCACGGGCGGCGCCAUUACAGCAGGUGCAGGCUAAGGGUAAUGAGCAGAUCGAGGCGAUGGAGGAGGACCCGCACGAGGUGCAGCUUCUUCGCCUCCUGCGCCAGGUCAGCGCCCAAGCAGCCGCUGAGGGACAGGCCGAGGCUUAGCUCGAUCUCAUCCGACUAAACGGUGGCUGCACUCCCACAGUCCCACUGGUGCUCCUCCCUUCUGUCCGAACCCGCCGAGGAAAUCCCUCGAUGCCAUGGGUCCCGGCUGGACGACUACUCCUCCCACAGAUUGACUGAGGAAGAAGAGCUUCUCAGUGUCCAAAAAUUCAGUUACACUGGAAACAGCAACCAAUUACGUUCUUCCGGCUCAGCCAAGCCCCAAUCUCUUGCUUCUGUGCGCCCCUGCUAAAUAUUCCAGAAACCAAUCUGGUUAGUUGUUUUUUCACAUUUUCAGUGCAUGCCGGUGCUGCUGUGUGCGGCAUGGAGUUGUCGUGGGAGUGCACGGUGGCUUAGCUGGUGCGCCGGUGUGCGGGCACGAACACAACGGUGAAGAUGGCAGAGCCAUCUCAAAGCUCCUGAGCACCUGCACGCGUCGCUGAGCAGGACAUGCUGCGACGGUGGGCGAGCGCUGCUAACGCCCUGGGGAAGAGCAGUGGGUGCAGAGAGAGGGAGCGAGGGAGAGGGGUUCUUGUAUAUGUUUGCUAACGUGGCACCGUUUACGGUGCCCGCCUAAGUGGCAUUCACGUGUCAUUCAUCCCAAAUGGUGUUGCAAGGUUGAACCUAUUGUGGGAGGCUUUUGGUUUCCCUUGACCAAGUAUCACCAGUGAUAUCACUGCGUUCUGGUUAUGUAUGAAACACUUGUCCUUUUAAAACCUUUCUGAAUUUAGAAACGAAUUUGAAACAUUACCCUCAUUUCCAUGUUUUUCUAUCUUUUGUCCCUGUAAAAUCAAACUAAAUUUGAAUUAUUAUGUUCAGAACUACAAGCUGAUUUACUUGUCCCAUUUGCUAAUAACAGGGCCUUGUGAUUUCUAAUGAACAUUGCAGAGCAUGUUAUAAAGCGUAUGCAUGAACACCAAGGGGAUGAAACCAUUGGUAUAUUUCUCAUAACCUUUUGAACUUAUCAUUUAGCAUAUUUGUGUUCUAGUGUGACGUUUCAGCCACGAGACAUGAGAAAUGUUAGCUAUGGAUUUUGGUUAUUCAUCAUGGGUUCACAGAUUUGUUUUUCUCUAAAAGAAUUGGGAAGUAGCUUUCUUUCUGGGUAUAUGUGGGGAAAAUGCAUAUGCAAUCUUUUAUUUAUUGAGGUGACUGUAAAAUUCUUGUCUGACUGAAUAUGCGAUUUCAACCUACAUGCUAUACUUAGGGAAAUUUGUGAAUCUCCUAAUGUCUGCUGCAUGGCAUGAAUGCAUAUUUUACUGGUCCAUAAUGUGAAGUUCUGUAUAUAAACUUCUCGUGUUGACCCUUUAGAACAUGCUAACUGGAGAGUUUUCUAGAGUAGUUAAACAAGAGAUUUAGUUAAAUCUGCACACAUAGGUGGGGCCUGGCAUACCCUAAGAAUCGGCCUAGCCGGCCAGCCCAUUAGUAAAAAAAAAGCACCGCAGUCAGCAGUCCCCACGUUGGUCUUCCUCGAGUCGCGACUCGCGAAGCUCCCAUCCUCCGAGUCCAAGAUGGUGGACUGUGUCGAGCGCGGGGCGGGCGAUUAGUUGCCCGGCCGCCGGCGGGGGAUGGCCGGACGGCCAGAUCGCCGACUCCUCUAGUCCUCCCUCCAGCCUCUGCGCUUCUUUCACAGUGGAGCUAGCGGCGAGGCGCCCGACCGACACCCUUCUUCCCAAAUCCCGGCAGCCCUGCCUCGAUUUGGCCUCCUCCGAUCAUUUGAUAAUCAAUUUGAUGAAAUUAAUAUGGAGUUGCUUUCUUGUAUGGUUGCCUUCAAUCCUGCUAAUUCAUUUGCUUCAUUUGAUGCACAAAAGAUACACAGACUUGCUAUAUUUUUAUCCACAAGACAUCACAAGCACGGAUUUGCUAAAACUUGAAUUCCAGCUCGAUAUUAUAUUGAUGAUGUGAGAUAGGAUGAUAGUUUCAAAGGCCUACAAGAUCUUGUUAAGUGAGACUCAGUUAAGCUUGUUGAAACAAACAGGCAUAAUAUUUAUGACUUGGUUUACUUGCUUCUCAAAUUGGUAUUGGUUCUUCCUGUGGCGACAGCUAGUGUUGAAAGGGAUUUUUGUGCAAUGACUUUGAUCAAGAGUAAGCUAAGAAAUAAGAUGGGUGAUAGUCUUUUGGAUGAUUGUCUUAUCACAUUCAUUGAGAAAGAUAUUUUCUUUGAAGUGGAUGAAGAAGAUAUAAUUAAGACUUCAUAUCCAUUAGAAAUCGUAGGCUGGAGAAGAAGUAAUAUUUUAAUUUUCUUUGAACGUUAGGUCUGUAAGCUUCUUUUAAACUAUCUACAUUAUAAUUUAUGGACCUUUUAAUUUAACCGUUGAAUUCAUGAUAUUAUGAGAUUUUUUUAUCUAUGUUAUUAUUGUUUACCGAUUUAUUACCAAAUUAUUAGUUUGAUCUUACAAUAUUGUAUUUUGGAUGAUUGGCUCGGCAUACUCUAAGUUUAAAUCCUAGCUCCGCCACUGUUUGCACAUUAAUGUGGCUUAUAUGUGUGGAGUCACUUAACCUAUGCACUUGGACCUCCACUCCCUUAGGUUUUAUGAACCUAAUUUGACAGCCUGCUCGUCUUUUAUUUUCUACCAAUCAGCUAGGAACGAACAUGGUGAUGUUUGCAUCUCUGCCAUCAAUGGCUUACAUGUCAUUAUGUAUCACAUUAGCAAGUCUUGUUUUGUUAUUGGCUGGGAUGACGGGGACUCUAGCUGGAAUUGAAUCAAAGUGGUAGAUCACAGGGUAUUCAUUGCCAUGUAUUUCUGCAGUUGCAUGGACUUGCAUCAAACGGACCUUCCUACUUAUGUGAUUGUCCUAUAUGAUCUCCUUUGAUUUCAUUUGCACACUGUAAUCACAUUAGCUAGAACACUCGCUUUUUGCUUCAAAUUUGAAAUUCAUAUCAUGAUGGACUAGAACGCUGAAUUUCUUGAUUGCUGAGUUACUAAUCACAUUGUGGCGCUGCCAAAGAAGCUGGACUCUUCAUUGUUGUUGCCUUGUGGGCUGCCGUGUGCAAAGAACAAGAGCGCACGGUAUUAUAAUAGCAGAGCUGAACACAGACAAGCGACAAGGAGCGGAGCAGAGCAGAGCACAGCCAAGCACAAGCAGUAGAGUAGAGCAGAGCAACCGGGAGAGGAGAGGGCACAUAUGCAGAGUAGAGCAGAGCCAAGCGCAAGCAUUCAUGCACUCAAGCAUGCAGCAGAGGUGUAGCAAGGCAAGCACAAGCAGCAGAGCAGAGGGAAGGGAAGGCUGGGAGAUGAAUAGGCGAAUAGUUACCUGGACAGAGCAGAGGGAAUGGAGAUGAUGCAGAUGCUUCCGGAGACUGGAGAUUUGGAGAGGAACAAGGCCACGUUGUGAACAAGGUCUCCUUUCUCUUCUCUAUUUCCCGUGCAAUACUCGUGCAUAGUGGCUGCCUCAUCCUCCAGGACGCCCACUUCAACCUGAGGCGGGUGCCACAGAUAUCCUGGCUAGGCGACGGCUAUCCCCAGCACGCCCCAGCGCCUUACGAACUAUGAUCCUAAUACUAUAAAUUGUCACGUACUCACCUUGUAAUCUUGUUUCAAGCAUGCUCUAUAUGUCAACCUGUAAGGUUAACUUCGUUUUUCCUUUUCUGGGUAGGGAAGUGGAUAUUGCUGUUAUUUAUGUUAUGUUGAUAUUGGUUUCCACAUGGCAUUCAUCCCAAAUGUGUUGCAAGGUUGAACCUAUCAUCGGAGGAAUUUUUUUCCCUUGACCUUUAUAUCACUACGCUCUGGUUAUGUAUGAAACGCUUGUCUUCUUAAAAACCUUAAUUUAGAAACGAAUUUGAAAUAUUAUCUUCGUUUACAUCCUGUAUAUGUGUUCUCUACCUUUUGUCCUAUAUUACCUUUUGUCCUAUAUGAUCUGCUUUGAUUUCAUUUGUGCAUAGUUUUUUCAAUUCAGACCUGGUGAUUUCUGAGGUUGAUGUGUCACACCCGAUUUUAAGAGUGCAUUAAAUACAUGUGCGCCAGGAUCAAGUUACACACAUGUACGACAUAAGCAAAUAUCAAAGACAGUGCCAUAACGAAAUAAAGAGAGUAUUAAUCAUUAUUACAUGAUCGAAAGUCUCAAAUAAACCACAAAGUCUAUUUAUUAUGCAGCGGAACUCCUAAGAUAGCAACGUCUCCAUAGGCAGCUGACUGAAGAACUGUACGCCUAGAACUCCUCAAAAUCGUGCAGGUACUCCUCCAAAUUAGCUUGGUCUGAAUAGCGGUUUUGCAAGGGUGAGUACAUUUAUGGUUGAUACUCAACAAGUCGUGGGAAACAGUGUAGUGUAAAGCAAAUCAAGGUAUGGCUAAGGCUUAAACAGCAUCAGCUUUUAAUUUAGUUGGUAAAAUUUUAUUAGCAAUUAACUAGAUGUAAGUUUAUACCACCCAAAAUUAAACAAGAACAUGAAUAAAAUAAUAACAUAACCAUAAAUGAAAUGACAACAAUUUAAAUCCAUCUUUCGAUAACAUUAUCAUGUGAGCAAUUUUUUCCCCUUGACCUUUAUAUCACUACACUCUAGUUAUGUAUGAAACACUUGUCUUCUUAAAAAUCUUAAUUUAGAAACGAAUUUGAAGCAUUAUCUUCAUUUACAUCCUGUAUAUGUGUUUUCUACCUUUUGUCCUAUAUGAUCUGCUUUGAUUUAAUUUGUGCAUAGUUUUUUCAAUUCAGACCAAUUUCUGAGGUUCAUGUUGUGCUGAUAAGCAGCCUACUAUUCAAUAACACUUUCAUGUGGCAUGUUCAUGUUAGCUAGCUAGAAACACUGUGCUUUUAGCUUCAAAAUUCAAAUUCAUGAUAUUAUGGACAUUGACAAUGAAUUUCUUGAUUGCUGAGCUAUGUACACUGUAAUCAAAUUGUGGGGCUGAUAAAAUAAGUAGCGUUGAGACACAUAACAAUUAAGAUUGAAUCUUAAGCUUCACACAGAAUCUGGACUAGUCAUCCUCAUUCUUGUCAUGUUGGAAAUGUCUUUGAUACAUUUCAAUCACAGGCAAUUGAAUUCGUACUGGGGAGGAUGGCAAUGGUGCGUGAAGAGAGAUCAAUGUGGCAAAUCUCACACUGUUCAUUACCAGGUAUCUCCGAUUUCUGGUUAUUUUAAAUUUACCUUGACAUGUGACUUAUUGAGGUAGUGUAUUUCAUCUAAUGGUAGUUCUGAAUUUAUGGUAACCUUGGAUGGGGUUUGUCACUUUAUCCACGCACGGACUUACAAAGGACAGCAAAUGACUAUUUUUAGAGGGCUCCUGUCUAACCAUGGACUAUACUUUAUGUACCCUUUUUUGACAUGGUAAUUUGAGGUUAAUGGAAAAGUAGCAUAUUUUCCCUGUAGUUACCUUGGGUUUACUUUCGCAUUGUCUUUUUACAGAGUUUGCAACCAGUGUUUCAUUAUCAGAUGAACGCAAGCAGAGGGUAUCACUCGUGGAGAGCCUUGGCGUUGCAGAGCAGUCCCACUCCAACUUGUAGAUAGUAUAUAUUCCCUCUGUUCUAAAAUGUAAGGUAUUUUGAUUUUUUUAGAUAUAUAGAUUCUACUAUGCUAACCUGAUAACCCCAUAAUCCAUCCUGAGGAAAAACCAGGCUAAGAAUAAGUGCUUUCAUGACAUUUAAAUGUCCUGGAAAGUCUUGUUUUGUUUAUAUGCUUAAGCAAAGUAGCUCUGGAGGGCAUGAAAGAAAAGCAUCGUGUUGAUGAGUAUUGCCGGAUGUUUAACUAUUAGUAUGGUAUAUUUAACUGAACAAGGCCUAGGACAGCACAAGGAUGGCCUUUAGGACAGCAUUGCUUUCUCGGCCUAAUUGGCGCCUUACAUUUGGCGACCAUACACGGCCCGUUAAGGAAAUUUAUGCCCAAGUUUGCCGAAGCAUUUAAGGCACAAAUGUUUUUGACUUCUGAUGGCCUGUUUUUGACCUCCCAUGGCCCAGUAGCGACCCUAGUUUUUAUCAGCAAUGACCAAAUGUUAGCCCAGUUUUGCCCCAUCUUAGGGUCUAAUCAUGGACCAAUAAAACAUGUGCUAGACUUCAUGGCCACCGGAUGCGUGUUCGGCCACGUAAUCGUGUGCUAUAGCUCACGGGAGGCUGAAAAUGGCCUGAAGGGGCACAGUGGAUGAAAACGUUAGGGACGCUCGGAACACAAGAAAAUGACCACCAGAUACAUGUUUGGCCAUUGUAACUGUGCGCUAUAGUUGAUAGGUCGAAAGCAGCUUGAAGAGGCAUCAGUGAUGGAAACAUGGGGGAUGGUCGGAACACUUGAAAAUGGCACUGGAUAAGUGUGCUUAUUCCUUGCGGGAUGCUGAAAAUGGCUUGGAAGGGUCAUCUAGGAUGGAAACUAGGUGGACAAUAAGUGAAAAUGGGCAGCGGACACGUGUUCGGUCAUGUAACCGUGUGCUAUAGUCCACUAGAGGUCGGAAAACUGCCCUAGGGACUCUAGAGAUGAAAAUGUGAGGAACAGCUGAAAGGUUACGUGUUUGGCCAUGACAGCCCUAUUAGGAAGCGAUAGAAGUGGAAAGAUAGCUGGUUUCAUAUUGGCAUCCCAUCUCUGAACUUUUGCUUCCCCCUUCCCUCCGUAAUCCCGGGGCAUCGAAUUAAAAAGUAUACAAAUCACUUUCAGAUGUAAUUGAGGGUAAAGAGGGGAGGUUUCACGAGACUCUACAAUGUUCAAAUCAUUCGUUCGUUAGGAUGCCUCAGCUUCAUACAUUGUUGCACUUCCACUUGACACCUAUUUAAACGGUUCGUCUCGCUGCUACAAGGUAUCAUCAGAUAUAGAAGAAUCAGAGACCGGGGGUAAUAGCAAAAAAGGAAUAUAACUCGUCUGAGGAAGUGGGCGCAGGGGCAGUGGGGUAAGGUAAUUGAAGUAACUAGCCAGUUUCUUCCCGAAACUUUCCAAGAAAAAUUCCGAAUUGGAUCCAAAAUUGACGGAUUAAUCAACCAAAAUAACCGUGAGCAGCCACAAUGUUAUAAAUGUUAUAAGUCCCUUCUUCUUGACCAAAUUUGUAACUCUUAUUAGCAGACUCAUUUUUAGUGAUUUCCCUGAUCAAACUAGAGGUUACCAAGGAACCGUGUGCUAUAGCCCACAGAUGCCUGGAAACAGCUAGGAAGGGCUUCGGGGAUGGAAACAACGUGGACGGUCGGAACACGUGAGAAUGACCACGGGAUACAUGUUUGGCCCUGUAACAGUGUGCUAUAGGAAGCCGGAAAUGGCUAGGAGGGUCACCAGGGAUGAAGAUGCAGGGAUGGAUGGAACAUGUGAAAAUGACCACUGGCAGGUCUAGAGAGAUAUCUCAUCAAAUUGGUGAGUUAUAUCCGGUUUAAACGAGGAUAAAAAUGGGUGUAUUUUCCACUCAUCAUAUUGUCUUUUCGUAGCUGUACCGCCUUUCGUGUGUUGUAUUGUUCCCCAAACACUAAGUCUCCGAGGCUUGAGAAAAUAAGGAAAGUGAUAGCAGCCCAAAAAUUGACCAAGUUUCUUUCCCCCUCUGGCUUUCUACUAGGAUUCAGAAUCCUCUUUUCCAUGAAAAUCUUAAUUAUCUCCCAUACUCCAAAACUCACAAAAACAUCAAGAGUCCGCUGAGAAUAAAUUUAAGUAAAAAACAUGCACACAUAGAUCCACAUCCAAUGGCAAGGAAAGGGGCGUCAGACAAAGCCCAAUGGCAACUGCUGACAUGCGAUUAAAUUCAGAUCCACAUCCGGCCAUUCAAUAAUACGGUUGGAGUUGUGGCACAGAUAUAUUAUUGCAUGAUCAUCAAGAUAAGAUCGUACAGUGACUGAGUGAGACAAUAAAUAGCCAAGUAAACUAUUUUAUCCUGCUGCAAGCUGCAUUCAUAAGUUUAUUUCACCUUUGAUCACAAUACUCUUCACACACGUACGUCUCAGGGAGAUCUCACUUCCGCUGUCGUCGGUACUGCCAAAGACAUAAGCUCACAUCUGCUAUUGCGGAGCAGGCCAAUUUGCUGCGGAACUUCGGCGACGACCUGAAGGACAUGAACUCGGUGCUGGAGUCCAUCUCAGCAGCGCUCUAGGACGCUGACACCGGUAGAAAAAUGACCUUCCAUCGUCAACAAAAAUCCCGGUAGCUUUUUUACUCGGUACUAAAGAGGUUUUAAUCUCGUGCAAACACCUUCAGUCCAGAUUGUUGUUACCACGCAACCCGGACUAAAGCGUCCCCCGCGAGUUAGUAUAUAAGGAUUGCAUCCUUUACUCAGUCAGAUAUAAUAUGUAGGUGAGAUGGUAAGGAAGCUAUGCGUGAGGCUUAAGGUUGUGGGUUCGAAUCCAAGUGGGUGCAGCUGUGGCUUAAGCGGCUGAGGCACGCCGCCAUAGACAUCUCAGAUUUGCUCGAAGACUACCAAGACACUAGUGAACCCUUAACAGUAAAGGUGAGUACUUAUGAAUGUCAGCAUCCAUGUUGUCCAUGCUUCCAAUGUAAUAACAAGAUGGACUACUCUUCCUAGCGGACUCUUCACAACCACUCGUAAAGCUAUGCGUUUCUCAAUGCAAUUUCGUAGAAGCCAAUCGAUCCAACCAAGUGACUAAAUCAUUCGUCCUUUCCAAUGAUGUGCAUCAGGUUUUCUAUAUGAAGGGCAUGUCUAGCAAACCUAAGAUUUCAGAAGAAAAAGAAAAAUCAUUGGAACCAAAGAGCCACAUAGUUCUUCUAGGAAAAAAAUCAUGGGAGUCGAGAACAUAUCAAACCAAUCAGGGGAUUAUGGUCAGCUUAAUGGCAUGCCUCCAUUCGAUGUCGAAGUUCACCCAAGCAUCAUGUUAGCCAAACAUCAAAUGUUCGUGCGUUGUUACGGUAAAGAUCAAUUGUGUUUUUUAAACUCUUGGAAUUUUUUUAUCUAAGUUUUUAUUUACACUUAUUGGAUGUCUACACAUUUGCUAGAAAACUAAAAUAAUUUGGACUUAAUUAUUUCUUUCGACUGAAGUACUCACUAAAUUUCUACCUUUUUAUUUAAGCAAGAGAGUUGCUAAAAAAAUGGAUACGUAACCAUGUUGUAUCAUACAAAGUAACCACGUUUCACAUAUAGUCCGGCUUAGCAAACACCAUUGUUUUCUGAACAUAGCGUACAUGAGUUAACAGACAUGGAUUUAUUUCUAUUGCAAGUAGCAUAGCGUACAACCUGCCUGCACCGAUGCAGCUCAAUAUGCGAUAAUUUUUAUCUUCCCAUGUAAUUUUUCUACUCUAGUACAUAUUGAACUCCACAUUAAUGUCAUGUUCUUUCGCGCCCCAGAAGGUUCCUAAAGUUGGGAAACUUAAUAGAUAGCCAGAAUUUUUUUUAAAGAUAUUUAUAUGGAUACUUGUAUGUUCUUUCCAAACUAACAAUAUUGUUUACCAAUAUCAGAAGGAAUAUGGUUAGGAGCCAUUGCCGCAUAUGGCAGGUGAUGGUAGAUGGCGUAUGGGGUUUCGUUAAUUUAAUGGUAUAAUAAGCUGAAAUACAUUUUCUAUUUGCAAAUGAAUCAUAGCUGAAAUUGGUGGGAUUGUUUUUUCGCCGGUUUAGCAUCCUGUGCACCAGUUCAACCGGAGGGAAGCUGUUUUUUUUCUUUGGUUUUCCACCGGUUCACCGAGACCGAUGACAAUUUUAUGGCAGAAUCAUUACUUGUUUUACUAUUAGGUGAAGAUUUUAGCUUUUAGGUAUCUCACAUUAAACGCAACUUCAACAAUCUAUUUCUAGUGUAUAAUGUAGGAGACCCCGUAAAGCGUCUACACACACAUAUAUGUUGACUAUGAAUGUAAGUUUGUUGGUUUUAUGUAUGUUCGUUUGGAGUUUAUAUAAAUUUUACAUUUUAUAGUUUUGUGUAUAUGACGAAGAUCCAUGACUUGCAUUAAUUUAGCCUUUCUUCCAACAACUCUUAUGCAUGCUGUUUCUAGGCGAGCGUACUGGUUGCAAUUUUGGUCCCCGAUAUAGUGUGAGGACUUAAGGGACACGUGCAGGUCGUAACCUUAGAUAUUUUUGCUGAGAAUGGAUGAAAAAGCAAUAAUAUACUUUGCUUCUGAUUUUCUCCAUGUCAUUUGCUUACUCUUAUCCCUUUUAUUUAUCAUUAUAAGAUGAAAAUAUUGUAAAAACUUGGCUACGUGCGGUCGCAGAAGCUAGAGACUAAAGUGUCCCCCACGAGUUACUAUAUAAAAGGAUUGCAUCCUCUACUCAGUCAUAUGUACUGUGUAGGUGAGAUGGUAAGGAAGCUAUGUGUGAGGCUUGAGGUUGUAGGUUCGAAUCCCACGCACCGCGUGCGCAUGCGCAUAUUUUGCGUGAAAAAUCGCAUGACUUGUGGUCGGCCAAGGAGAAGUGCGUGCGGCCGAGGCACGCCGCCAUAGACAUCUCGGAUUUGCUCCAAGACUACCAAGACACUAGCGAACCCUUAACGGCAAAGUUGAGUACUUACGCGUGUUAGCAUCUAUGUUGUCCAUGCUUCCAAUGCAAUAACAAGAAGGGCUACUCAUCCUAGCGGAUUCUUCACAACCACUCGUAAAGCUAUGCGUUUCUCAAUGCAAUUUCGUAGAUGUCAAUCGAUCCAACCAAGCGACUGAAUCAUUCGUCCUUGCUAAUGAUGUGCAUCAGGUUUUCUAUAUGAAGAACAUGUCUAGCAAAUCCAAGAUUUCAGAAGAAAAAUAAAAAUCAUGAGAACCAAAGCACCACGUAGUUCUUCCAGGUAAAAAAAACAAUCAUCCACUGGGAUGACACACAGUAGCGAUCCAAAACGUCCAUAUUAAGACUUUUUGAUAGCAGAAAAAACAUGAAAAUGUCUAAUAUUUGUAGUAUUAAAAGGAAAAAUAAUAUAUUCACUUGACCUUUUUUUCGUAGCAACGCACCGGUGCGUAGUUAGACUUAGGCCACGUUUGGAUACUCCCUACUAAAGUUUAGCACCUGUCACAUGGGAUGUUUGGAUACUAAUUAGGAGUAUUAAACAUAGGCUAAUUAUAAAACUAAUUGAACAGAUGGAGUCUAAUUUGCGAGACGAAUCUAUUAAGCCUAACUAGUCCAUGAUUUGACAAUGUGGUGCUACAGUAACCAUUUGCUAAUGGUGGAUUAAUUAGGCUUAAUAGAUUCGUCUCGCGAAUUAACAUAGGGUUCUGCAAUUAAUUUUAUAAUUAGCUCAUGUCUAGUCCUUCUAAUUAGCAUCCGAACAUCUGAUAUGAUACUGCUAAAGUUUAUCACCUAGUAUCCAAAUACCCCCUUAAUGCACGAUGCCUGUGCAUCCACUGGGCCUACCCUCGUGGAUCACACGCUCGUGGAUCACGCGCACCAUGACAUGGCUCAUUAGCUAGUCGUGCUAAUCCUUACCACCAAAUUAAAAACUAGCAUGUGUUGUGUGUUUGUGACCCUAAACGACUACCACCUUCCCGAGUCCACCGGAGUUGCCAGUUCACCACUAAGCUGACUCUCCGAGCUUCAUGUCACUGUCACCGCUCCAAAGACCUAGAUCGGUUCGCUGUGCACCCCGCUUCGUCCUGAGCUAAAUCCCAUCACGAAAGGUGACCGGAUGCUCGUUUUCGAGCGAAUUCUAGCGAGAUUGCCACCACCUUUCCCCUUCCAGCCGAUCGCAGCUGUCUGAUCACAAACCGACAGCCCAGAUCGGAUUUGACCAGGUCAAUACCGGUCAAGCUGAGAUGCAUGCUGCUUUUGCAAGAAGGCCCCUAUUUUUCUCUCUUUUUGCACUUGAGGUCCUACGCAGUUCAAAAGUAAUUAGAUCUAGAUCCUUUUUCUUCUGUUUUAGCCCUGUUCUUUUAUAAAAUCCCACCCGCCAUCCUGUUUGGUAUUUUGACAUGUUAGACCUUCUAUUUAUAUGUUUAAUUAGGUUUUAGCCCUUGGUUUCUUUAAGUUUAGCUCUUGGAAGUUUAGUUUUCUCGCAGUUAAGCCCCUGAACCUUGUUUAGUUCAUAUCUUUAGCGUUUUAAAUUCGUUUUAAGAGAUUCUUACGCCCAUAAGUUCGUGUUGAUGCAUAGAUUAGUUGACUUAUACGGACCUUGCUGAUUCAGCUCCUUCAUUGUGCUUCAGAUCUCGCUAGUGAAGAAUAAUGGAUGGGCUUUGGUUGAGCUUGUAGAUCGACCUGCAGUUGCAGUGAAUGUGCUGAGGACUGGCGGUACCAAUAAUGGGAGGCCGCUGCUCUGCUUGCUACCAAGGCCUGCGACGCUUGGACGCCAUUCAGAGUGCAUAAUUUCCAAGGAUCUCAAGGGCUCCACACCACGUUCCAAGUGUUUUUUCUUUGCCGAGUGUUUUUAGCUCGGCAUUUGGCAAAUAGCUUGUUUGCCGAGUGUCCGAAAAAAACACUUGGCAAAGAGAAAACACUCGGCAAAUUUGAUGUUUCCCGUAGUGAUGUACUAUUCAAACUUGAACUGGGAUGCAGGCUUCAGUACCAAAGAGAGCUCUGGGCGCGGGUGAGCAGUGAGCUGGCCAGGCAGGGAGCGCCGCGAGCUCACCACGGUGGCAUGGCGCGGCUGGAGCUCCAAAGCGACAGCAACAAAGAGAGAAAUGCUAAGAGUAAGAACGACACACGAGGUCACUUCACAUAGAUAAUAGCAGUACGAACCAUACAAUAUCCUCUCUCAGUUUCACUCCGCCACCAUGCAUGCCGAUUUCAUAUUAUUAAUAUUAUUUUUUGGAUGGUUGUUGAAACUAUAUAUAUAGUUAGUCCAAUCUCACGUUUCCGAUUAUAAAAAUCAACGUAAAGAGAUCGGAAGGGAGAGCCGGCAUAAUGAAGCCGACGCGUGUAAUAAGCACCAGAGCCGGCAUUUAUACAAACUGGUACGAAUAGUAAAAAACUAGAAUUUAUAAAUAAAAAAAUGAUUUGCACAUCUAUGCAAUAAUUAGGGGUUAGUGGCAGGUCUAGAGAGAUAUCUCAUCAUUAUAUCCGGUUUAACGAGGAUAAAAAAGAGUGUAUUUUCCACUCAUCAUGUUGUCUUUUCGCAGCGGUACCACUUUUCAUGUGUUGUAUCGGUCCCCUAAUACGGAGUCUCCGAGGUCCGAGAAAAUAAGGAAAGUGAUAGUAGCCCAGAAAUCGGCCAAGUUUCUUUCCCCUUUGGCUUUCCUACUAGGAUUCAAAAUCCUCUUUCGCAUGACAAUCUUAAUUAUCUCCCAUACUCCAAAACUCACAAAAACAUCAAGAGUCCGCUGAGAAUAAAUUUAAGUAAAAAACAUGCACACACAGAUAAUAAUAAUAAUCAUGUUUCCAUAAAAUUGCUAAGGCCAGAGAUAAUACAUAAACAUAGUAGACUGUUCAUGACACAUAUCACGGUGGACAGUGUUUGUGUCCUUAUUACAAGCAACGAGAGAUGCUCGUCACCACACACGCGCGCGCGCAGAUGCACGACAUACAUAUAGUAGAGACCAACAGAUGGUCGUCCCAUAUGGUGAACAAUUUAUUGGAGAUAAAUAUUAACGUAACUUGGCCAUAGCUUGAAGCAUAGCAACAUAUGCCUAUGAGUGGCAUUCAUGCUAUCAUUUUAGGCUUGUCCAGCUCCUUCCAUCUUAGCAAGCACUUCCAUUUCUACCAUCUUAGCAGCAACUGUCAAAUUGAGAUACGGAAAUCCCAUUAGCGCAUGAGUUAAUUUUGCAGUGGAAAUAGAGUACAAGAUGUCUUCAUGAUGUAAGUAAUAUGCCUGAAGUUGUGAGAUGGGAAGUGAAGUCAACAAAUUACAUUAAUGGAAAUGCAUGGAAGGCCACACAUACGUAUUAGUCCAUGAUAUGCUACAAAGCUUGUAUGUACAUAUAGCAAAUUAAAUGCAUUAAUUGAAUAGAGUGUGUUUAGUGAAUUUACCAGAAUCGUCCAGAAAACAUGGGAAACAGCAAGUGUUCUUGCAGACUGCGUCGGAGGCACCCGCACGAAUACAAAGCUGACAACAUAGUUUUGCCUGGGCGGAUGCGCAGCAGCCGCACUCCGCCGCGGUGGGGUUAACAUUGAGGCUCAAGAUGACCAGGCACAUGAUCACCAUCAAAGUGGUAGUCCUCUUUCCCUCCAUUGCCUCCUCUUAGCUUGCUGCUACCUUCCUUGGUUACCUAGCUAAGUUUAUUGGUUUUGUGUUGAGAGGUGUGAUUCUUGAAUGGACGUUGCCGGCGGCAAUUUAUAGGCAGCUGAGCUAUGUGAUGAUAUGGACUAGGUGCAAAUGGGUGGUUAAUGGCAAGGAAAGGGGCGUCAGACAAAGCCCAAUGGCAACUGCUGACAUGCGAUUAAAUUCAGAUCCACAUCCGGCCAUUCAAUAAUACGGUUGGAGUUGUGGCACAGAUAUAUUAUUGCAUGAUCAUCAAGAUAAGAUCGUACAGUGACUGAGUGAGACAAUAAAUAGCCAAGUAAACUAUUUUAUCCUGCUGCAAGCAGCGCUGCAUUCAUAAGUUUAUUUCACCUUUGAUCACAAUACUCUUCACACACGUACGUCUCAGGGAGAUCUUACUUCCGCUGGACUGCUCACUUCCGCUGUCAUCAGUACUGCCAAAGACACAAGCUCACAUCUGCUAUUGCGGAGCAGGCCAAUUUGCUGCGGAACUUCGGUGACGACCUGAAGGACAUGAAUUCGGUGCUGGAGUCCAUCUCAGUAGCACUCCAGGACGCUGACACUGGUAGAAAAACGACCUUCCAUCGUCAACAAAAAUCCCGGUAGCUUUUUUACUCAGUACUAAAGAGGUUUUAAUCUCGUGCAAACACCUUUAGUCCGGAUUGCUGUUACCUGUUACCACGCAACCCGGACUAAAGCGUACCCCACGAGUUACUAUAUAAGGAUUGCAUCCUUUACUUAGUCAGAUAUAAUGUGUAGGUGAGAUGAUAAGGAAGUUAUGCGUGAGGCUUAAGGUUGUGGGUUCGAAUCCAAGGAGAAGUGGGUGCAGCUGUGGCUUAAGCGGCUGAGGCACGCCGCCAUAGACAUCUCAAAUUUGCUCGAAGACUACCAAGACACUAGUGAACCCUUAACAGUAAAGGUGAGUACUUAUGAAUGUCAGCAUCCAUGUUGUCCAUGCUUCCAAUGUAAUAACAAGAUGGACUACUCUUCCUAGCGGACUCUUCACAACCACUCGUAAAGCUAUAUGUUUCUCAAUGCAAUUUCGUAGAAGCCAAUCGAUCCAACCAAGUGACUAAAUCAUUCAUCCUUUCCAAUGAUGUGCAUCAGGUUUUCUACAUGAAGGGCAUGUCUAGCAAACCCAAGAUUUCAGAAGAAAAAGAAAAAUCAUUGGAACCAAAGAGCCACAUAGUUCUUCCAGGAAAAAAAUCAUGGGAGUCGAGAACAAAUCAAACCAAUCAGAGGAUUAUGGUCAGCUUAAUGGCAUGCCUCCAUUCGAUGUCGAAGUUCACCCAAGCAUCAUGUUAGCCAAACAUCAAAUGUUCGUGCGUUGUUACGGUAAAGAUCAAUUGUGUUUUUUAAACUCAUGGAAUUUUUUUUCUAAGUUUUUAUUACACUUAUUGGAUGUCUACACAUUUGCUAGAAAACCAAAAUAAUUUGGACUUAAUUAUUUCUUUCAACUGAAGUACUCACUAAAUUUCUACCUUUUUAUUUAAGCAAGAGAGUUGCUAAAAAAAAUGGAUACAUAACCAUGUUGUAUCGUACAAAGCAACCACAUUUCACAUAUAGUCCGGCUUACCAAACACCAUUUUUUACUGAACAUAGCGUACAUGAGUUAAGAGACAUGGAUUUAUUUCUAUUGCAAGUAGCAUAGCGUACAACCUGCCUGCACCGAUGCAGCUCAAUAUGCGAUAAUUUUUAUCUUCCCAUGUAAUUUUUCUACUCUAGUACAUAUUGAACUCCACAUUAAUGUCAUGUUCUUUGGCGCCCCAGACGGUUCCUAAAGUUUGGAAACAAAAUAGAUAGCCAGAAAUUUUUUUUAAAAUAUUUAUAUGGAUAUUUGUAUGUUCUUUGCAAACUAACAAUAUUGUUUACCAAUAUCAAAAGGAAUAUGGCUAGGAGCCAUUGCCGCAUAUGGCAGGUGAUGGUAGAUGGCGUAUGGGAUUUCGUUAAUUUAAUGGUAUAAUAAGCUGAAAUACAUUUUCUAUUUGCAAAUGAAUCAUAGCUGAAAGUGGUGAGAUUGUUUUUUCGCCGGUUUAGCAUCCUGUGCACCGGUUCAACUGGAGGGAAGCGGUUCACCGAGACGGAUGGCAAUUUUACGGCAGAAUCAUUACUUGUUUUAUUAUUAGGUGAAGAUUUUAGCUUUUAGGUAUCUCACAUUAACAAUCUGUUUCUAGUGUAUAAUGUAGGAGACCCGUAAAGAGUCUACACACACAUAUAUAUGUUGACUAUGAAUGUAAGUUUGUUGGUUUUAUGUAUGUUCAUUUGGAGUUUAUAUAAAUUUUACAUUUUAUAGUUUUGUGUAUAUGACGAAGAUCCAUGACUUGCAUUAAUUUAACCUUUCUUCCAACAACUCUUAUGCAUGCUGUUUCUAGGGGAGCGCACUGGUUGCAAUUUUGGUCCCCGAUAUAGCAUGAGGACUUAAGGGAGACGUGCACGUCGUAACCUUAGAUAUUUUUGCAAGAAGCAAAUUAUACUUUGCUUUUGAUUUUCUCCAUGCCAUUUGCUGACUCUUAUCCCUUUUAUUUAUCAUUAUAAGAUGAAAAUAUUGUAAAAACUUGGUUACGUGCGGUCGCAGAAGCUAGAGACUAUUUCUUUUUUUAAAAAUACACAAGAGGGAGAAACUUGGUAACAGCUAGACAGUGAAGAUCGCAUUUCAUAAGAAAGAUGGUGCACGUUCUUGUUUGGCUGUUAACGAAAUGACUUCGUUUCACCACACCACCAGAGAGCCCCAUUGCACUUGCAGCAAAAGCGUGGAGCCGCUUUCAACCAGCGUGCAAUAAUGCAGUCCCGCGUGUCUUGGUCUUACAAGAUAUUUGGUUCUUUAGUCCGGACUAAAAUUCAUGUCGCAUAGAAUAUUCAGAUGUUAAAUAGGAGGACUAAACAUGAGCUAAUUAUAAAAAUAAUUACACAAAUGGAGGCUAAUUCCCGAGACAAAUCUAUUAAGUCUAAUUAAUCCAUCAUUAGCACAUGUUUACCGUAGCACCGUAUUGUCAAAUCAUGGACUAAUUAGGCUUAAUAAAUUCGUCUCGCAAGUUAGUCUCCAUCUAUACAAUUUGUUUUAUAAUUAGUCAAUGUUUAAUACUCUAUCUAAACAUUCAAUGUGACUGAAAUUUUAGGAGGUCCUAAAGAACCAAACACCCCUUAGUCUCCGCCUGAACUAUAGCAGGUGCUGGCAGCGGUAGCAGGGUCGUCCAUUAUAUCUAUGGAUGGAAAUGAUCUGAUUCGGAUGGAAUCGAAUUCGAAUAGCACUUUUUACCACAUACUAAUCUGAAUUGGAUGUUCUCGAAUGUGAAUGCAAAACGGAUAGUUCAAAUUUGAAUACUUUGCGGAUUUUUGCAUAAUAUUAAUCGAAGAGAAUUUGUUAAAUUUAGCCGGACAUAAAUUUUUCUAAAUUCAAAUACUUUGCAGAUUUUCGAAUGCAAAUUUUUUCAUACGAUCUCGGUUGAAUACAAACUUUAUAUCAAAGUUGUAUAUUUAGAUUAUAUAUAAAACUUUGUAGUUGACCUCCUUUUCAUUUAAAAUUUUUUAAUAGCUCAAAACAUUAUUCUAAGCUUUCUAAUUUCAAAAUCUUGAAUUUUAAAUUUUUCAAACGACCUCGGAUGCAAACUAGCUCUAUAUCAAAGUGGUAGUGCUUAAUGAGAUAUAAAAUUUUGUAGUUGACAAGUUUUUCAGUUGAAAAUAUUUAGUUAUCACAAACAUACAAGUUCUUCAUUUGAUGUCGAGGAUUGGAAGUGUUGAGUUUGAAGAAUAUAUUCUUUGAUUACAAACUUUUCCAUAUGAUCUUGGAUGAAUACGAACUUUAUUUCAAAGUUGCAAAUUUAGAUUAGACCAAAAACAGUAUAGUUUACAAUUUUUUCAUUCAAAAUUAUUUAGUAGCUCAAAAUGUUAUUCUAAACUCUCUAAUUUUGAAAUCUUGAAUUUUAAAAUUUUCAAAUGACCUCGGAUGCAAACAAGCUCUAUAUCGAAGUGGUAGUUCUUAAUGAGAUAUAAAAUUUUGUAGUUCCAUCUGAGAUCAUUUAACAGUCACAAAUAUACAAGUUUUUCAUAUGAUGCUAAGGAUCAGAAAGAUUAAGUUUGAAGGCUGUAUUUUUUUAAUACAAAUUUUUGCAUACGAUCUCGGAUGAAUACAAAUUUUAUAUCAAAAUUGUAGAGCUCGAUGAGAAUUUAAACUUUGUAGUUGAUAUAUUUUUCAUUCGAGAAUGUUUAGUGGUCCAAACAUGUAUUAUAAGUUCAGAGAAGAAACACACAAUCGGCCACGUCAUCAAUUGACAACUUCCAAAUUGAGCAUUCCUAUUGGUUCACACCUUUCCCUUUCAACUCGUCAAGCUUAUCUCCUCCCACUCCUCCAUCGUUCACUCCCCCUUCCCCUUCCUCUCUCCCUCCCUCCCUCCGCUCCAGCAGUGGCAGCCCGACCUGCCUCCUAGGACGGUGGUGUGCGGGGCUCGGGCAUCCCUGGCCUCUAGUGGCGUGGCAGGGCGGCCUCCAGCAGCGAUGGCGGAACUCGGCCUCCGGUGGCGCACAGGCAGCGCAGCCUACCUGGUCAAAGGCGGCGCAACAGGGCGACCUCCCCAGCCUCCGGUGGCGCGCAGGGCCUCCAUGACCUCCCCGGCCUCCCUUGCCAGAGGUGGUGCGCGGGGCUGCGCCGACCUCCCCAACCAGAGGUGGCAAGGCCCCAGCUUACGGCGGCGCGUGGCUCCCCAGCUAGGGUGUGGUGGGGCGGCGGCAAGUCAGGCGUGGCCACGUGGGGGUGGGGGGAGGGGGUUGGGCUGGGCGGAUUCAGAUAGUAUCCAUUUAACCAUCCGAAAUGUGGAUAUCCGUUUAACAAUCCGUUUAGCAAAACCGAAUUUGGAUACUUCCACUUAAGUAUCCAACUAGGAUUCGAAUGCGGAUGGUCCUACCAUAUUGUUAUUUCAGCGGAUACGAAUAUGGGAUAAUUCGAAUAACGACUUACCCAUCCCUGAUUAUAUCCGUGUAAAUAAAUAAUUGCGGCAGCAGGUUCCCGUCGCCACGCCCCCGUCAAACCAAACAAUUGCUUGCGCGACACCGUGUUACUAGAUCUUGUACAGUACUCCCUCCGUUGCAGUACUCCCUAAUGAAAGUUGAGAAUCGAUCGACAACCACGGCUAGUUGCUAUGCACUCGAUCAGAUGGUCCAGGCGCCCGCUGGUAAUCAGGUCGUGGUUCACGCGCAUCAGGCCAGCUAUGACGUUGCCAGCAGUGCUCAGUACACAAAUCUAGCUAUCAGUCGGAUCCAAUUGGGCAGGCAUUUGCACUGUGGUUGUGUUUGAACCUGGAGAUGUCGUUGUCAUUAUCAGGCACCAUACAUCCUCUCUCAGAGGGUGUUUCACCCCCUAAACUUUAGCCCCUCUCACAUCGAAUGUUUUAGAUACUAAUUAGGAAUAUUAAACAUAGAAUAUUUACUAAACCCAUUACAUGGAUGGAGGGUAAACGACGAGACAAAUCUAUUAAAUCUAAUUAGUCCAUGAUUUGACAAUGUGCUGCUAUAGUAACUAUUUGCUAAUGAUGGAUUAAUUAGACUUAAUAGAUUUUUCUUGCCGUUUAGCCUCCGUCUGUGCAAUUAGUUUUAUAAUUAAUUCAUAUUUAGUCCUCCUAAUUAGUCUCCGAAUAUUUGAUGUGACACCGACUAAACUUUAGAUAGCACACCAGGGACCGACACCAUGCAUGCUGAUUUCAUAUCAUAAUUAAGGAAAGUGAUAUCAUAAUUAAGGAAAGUGGUAGCAUCCAAGAAAUCGAUCAUGUUUCUUCCCCCUUUGGCUUUCCUACUAGGAUUUGGAUAGCGGGCCUUCCUACUAGGAUUUGGAAUCCGCUAUCGCAUGACUAUCUUAAUUAUGUCCCAUAGUCCAAAACUCACAAAACAUCAAAAAUCCACCGAGAAUAAAUUAAGUAAAAAACAUGCGCACACAGAUAAUAAUAAUAAUCAUGUUUCAAUAAAAUUGCUAAGAUUAGAGAUAGUACAUAAACAUAUUAGAUUGUUCGUGACACAUAUCAUGGUGGAUAGUGUCUGUGUCCUUAUUACAAGCAGCGAUAGAUGCUUGUCACCACACACACGCACGCACAGAUGCACGACAUACAUAUAGUUGAGACCAACGGAUGGAUGUCCCAUAGGGUGAAUAAUUUAUUGGAGAUAAAUAUUAACAUAACUUGGCCAUAGCUUGAAGCAUAGCAACAUAUGCUUAUGAAUGGCAUUCAUGCGGGUAGCAAUGCUAUCAUAUGCUUUUAGGCUUGUCCUUAGCUUCUUCCAUCUUAUAGCAAACACUGCCAUUUCUUCCAUUUUAGCAGCAACUGUCAAAUUAAUUGAGAUAUGGAAAUCCCAUUAGCGCAUGAGUUAAUUUUGCAGUGGAAAUAGAGUAGAAGAUGUCUUCAUAAUGUAAGUAAUAUGACUCUGACAUAGGGAGUGAAGUCAACAAAUUACAUUAACGGAAAUGCAUGGAAGGCCACGCAUAUGUAUUAGUCCGAUAUGCUACAAAGCUUGUAUGUACAUAUAAUAAAUUAAAUGCAUUGAAUAGAGUGAUUUUAGUGAAUUUACCUAAAUCGGAUUAAAAAACAUGGGAAACAACAAGUGUUCUUGUAGGGCUUUGUUUAGUUCCCAAAUUGGGAGUAGCAAAGUUUGCAUUUUACCAUAAAUGCGCAACUGUAGCAUGUAGCAUUUCGUUUGUAUUUGUGAAUUAUUAUCCAAACAUUGACUAAUUAGGCUCAAAAGAUUCAUCUCGCAAAGUACAACAAAACUGUGCAAUUAGUUUUUGAUUUCGUCUACAUUUAGUACUCCGUGCAUGUACCGCAAGUUUGAUGUGAUGGGAAAUCUUGCUUUUCAAUAGUGACAAAGUUGGGAUUUCGGGGGGAAGGCCUGUGUCGGAGCCACAUGCAAGAAUGGCUGACAUUGAGGCUCAGACAAAGCCCAAUGGCAACUGCUGACAUGCGAUUAAAUUUAGAUAUCCACAUCCAGCCAUUCACAUUUAUGAGAUAUGGACACGGUGCAAAUGGGUGGGGUCCUGAUAUGGAGGUGCGAAUGGCUGUCUACUUGUAUAGUGUAGCUCCAAUGUACGUAUAUGUAUCUUAUGCAUGUAUACAGUUGCACAAACUCUGAACCAACUCUUCAUAACAGGUCUUUGUUACCAAGUAACUUUACUUUUGCACGUUUCAGCCGAGAGGUAGAAGAGAAUAUUUUUGCAUUUUCCAUGUGCGUCAGUGGUAGAGAACUAGGAAUUAGUUCCGGAUGGUAGGGCACAAAUCUUCCAAACAACUAUCCGAAAUUAAGCAAUCGAGAUAAAGGGUGCCAUCUAUUCUCUCCGAAAAACACAGGUACCAAAAAGAAGAAGAGAAGAGGGAGGGCCUCCCGUUAAGGCCCGCUCGGGGUCUCCAUCCCACCACGCGCCCUCCCAACCCAAAGCCCAUCGUUUUCCCUCCGUCCCUCCCCUCUCCAUUGCCGCCGCUGCUCCCCUCAUCCGAGCUCGAUACGGGUGGUCGGCGGCCCCUCCUCUCCGCUCCCGCCCCCGGCCUCCCUUUGACCGCCGGGCGCCGGCAUCACUGCCGCGGCCAACCCCAGGGCGCAGCGCGUGCCUCUAUUUCUCUCCCCCGUUCAAGGGCCCUUUGAUGGCGACGAGCACCCACCCACCAGGUAUGCCCUCCCCUUCUCUUCCUAACCCUAAUAUAUUCGGAUCUCACCCAGUCACAAUAUAUUACCUAAUAGCUUCGAUUUUGUUUGCAAAAAUCAUCACGUGCGCACCCAUGUCCGCUAGAUUCUUGCGCCUGAUCCUGUGCUGCUAUGGUUUGGGCGGGGUAGACUAGUUGAUUCGUGCACUUUUGGGUGCUUGUAGUGCUAGGUUUUGGAGGGGGAUAGCCCAGUUGAUUCCUCCGUUUUGGGUGCUCAUGGUGAUAGGAUUUGGAUGGGGAUAGCCCCAAUGAUUCGUGCGCCUUUGGGUGCUGGGGAUAGUUUUGGGUGCCUGGAUAGUCCAGUUUCAAUGUCAGUAUAUGCGUAUUUUGGGGAGAAUUUUGUUUUGGGUGGUUCUGGUGCUAGAGUUUCUGAUGCUUAGUAGCCCAGUUUCAAUCAAAUUCCCCCAUGGGUCGUGCACUACGGGAAACAAGAAAAUUGCCGAGUGUAUUUUUUUUGCCGAGUGUUUUUUUUCCGAGCACUCAGCAAACAAGCUUCGCCGAGCGCCAAGUCAAAAACCCUCGGCAAAAAAAAAACACUCGGCAAAUCGGGGCUUUGCCGAGUGUCAAAUAAAAACACUCAGCAAAGAAGGGGGUUUGCCGAGUGUUAAAAAAAACACUCGGCAAACAGGAGGGUUUGCCUAGUGUUUUUUUGACACUCGGCAAAAAAAUAAUUGUUUUUCCUCUUUUCACCUUGAAAUUUUUUCUACUCCCCACAUACAACACGUGGUACUCCAUGUUAAAAUUUGGUAUAUUUUUGGAUUUAUUUGCUAUAUUUAUUUAAUUAAUUGCAUUUCAAGGAAAUUUUUGGUAUAAGUCAAAUUUGAACUGCAAGUGAUUCAAAUUGUGGAACAAAAUGAGUAGAAAAAUGAUAUUCAUGUUAUUUGGCUCAAUUUGAGAUCUGACCCAUGAAAUGAAAAGAAGUUUCGAACAUCUUGUUCAGGAAACACGACAAUGAACAUGUGGCGGUAGUAUUUUUAAAUUGUAAAAAAACAAGCAAAGUCUGAAAAUCAUGAGAUUUGUAGUUAUGUGAUGAUAUAAUACGUGGAAGCUGUGGAAAAAAAUUGGAAAGGUUUUGCACAUUUCAUCAUGUACGAUGAUUACAAACCGAAGCAUAUCAGAAGAAGAAUAGUAACUUUGAGAAGGAUUCGAUAAAAUUUAGAGUCGAAGUGACGGUCGAGUUCGGUUUGACUACAAAACUUUUUGUAUAGUCAGUAGAGAACAUAUCUUAUUUCGUGUGAAAAUUUGGUAUUUUUUGAAACUGUUGGAUAUUUUUAAUUUUUUUUUUAAAAAACUUGCCGAGUGUUUUCUCGGCACUCGGCAAAGACUUUGCCGAGUGCCCGACACAAAACACUCGGCAACUCAGUGUUUGCCGACUGAAAAAUUGCCGUGUGCCGUUUGCCGAGUGUUACACUCGGCAAACGGUUCGCCGAGGGUUUUUUGCCCUUCGCCGAGUGCCCCUAGCACUCGGCAAUUUCACUAUCUCCCGUAGUGGUGGCUGGACUUAUGGGGGGAUCAUUGAUGGGGGACUAGUUGGAUACUUUUUGGCUGUUUUGGGAGUCCUUGGCAGCGGCUUCUCAGGGCGUACGUAGCCCAUUGUAGAUUCCAGCCGAGAAGAUUAAGGAAUUGUGACUGCAACCAUGUUACUUUUCUAGGACUCUGUUUCUGAUAUUGUUCCCGCUGCAUCUUUUCAUCCCCAUGGUGAAUGUUGCUGUUGAUCUGUAGAUUGGAUUUGUUCCUCGGUAGCUUUAUUAGAUUUGUGCUGAAUGAUAAUCUCUGCCUGUGAUAUUUUUCUUCAUUGCGGAUGUGUGCCGAGUAUAUCCCCUUUGUUCAUUCUGUUGGCUUUUUUUAUUGUCUCUGUACUCGGCUGUUCAGCUUGUGCAGCUAAUGAUCUAAUGUAUUUUGUGGUAACUAUGUAUUUUUCGGAUGUGUGCCGAGUAUUAUCCCCUUUGUUUAUUCUGUUGGCUUGCUUUCAUUGAUCUUAAGAUAACUGGUGCUAUAAAUUCACACUAGCUGAUGCACUUGCAAAUAGCUAUGUAAAUAUGAAAAGAAGUAUUUUUUUAUCCUUUUGUUUGUUUGGCAUCAUAUCUGUUUAAAUGGCAUAGCAAUAAGAAUUUUUUGUUUUUGGGGAAUCAUAUCUGCUUAAAUGGUAUAGAAAAUGCUGAGUGCACUGUCAAAUAGAUUUUCCAGCAGUCUGCUUUCAGUUGUUUUUGCAAAUCCUCACAGGCCAGUGAACUGACUUUGUUUUUACCACCCCAUGCCAUCUAAAUGACUAAAUCAGUCAGCCUAAUACUAUAUAUGGUCAUGCUAUGAUCUUAUUUCUUGAAGCUCUAUAGGUCAACCCAUAAGGGUAACUUAGUUUUUCCUAUUCUGGCUGGGGAAGUGGAUACGAUGGCUAUCCUUGGUAGAGUUAAAUACAUUGGCGGCUCUUAGCGCGCCAAUGUGGCACCACAAUAUCGAACAUAUGUAGAAACCCCCUUGUUUUUUCUCAUAUCCCUCUCUCUCAGCGUCCUCUUCUCUUCUUCUCCUCUGUCUCCUCCCCUCCCAUCGCGUGCUUUAUUGCGCCGCCGCCAUCCGCCUCCAUGUAUGAACACGUCGUUUGUCAUGAAGAAGCAGUUGAUGAGGCAAUCAAGCAUGUGGUGCACAAGGUUCUUCUGCUGGCCAAGUCCGAGUCGAACAGCCGCGCAUUCAUUGGGGAAGCACGCGCCAGGCAUCACCAGGCUCCUCGUGCCCCUACUCUGCUCCAAGGACUCGGUGCUUCGACGCGCUGCUUUCCCUGUCCGGCGAGCGGGGAUCGUUGGGAGAUGAUCGAUGGAGGAUGGAGCUGAUCCUCCUGUACACGGUGCCGGUGGGGAGCAGGGAGCUGCGGAGCAGGUCCACGGGCGGCGCCAUUACAGCAGGUGCAGGCUAAGGGUAAUGAGCAGAUCGAGGCGAUGGAGGAGGACCCGCACGAGGUGCAGCUUCUUCGCCUCCUGCGCAAGGUCAGCGCCCAAGCAGCCGCUGAGGGACAGGCCGAGGCUUAGCUCGAUCUCAUCCGACUAAAUGGUGGCUGCACUCCCACAGUCCCACUGGUGCUCCUCCCUUCUGUCCGAACCUGCCGAGGAAAUCCCUCGAUGCCAUGGGUCCCGGCUGGACGACUACUCCUCCCACAGAUUGACUGAGGAAGAAGAGCUUCUCAGUGUCCAAAAAUUCAGUUACACUGGAAACAGCAACCAAUUACGUCCUUCCGGCUCAGCCAAGCCCCAAUCUCCUUGCUUCUGUGCGCCCCUGCUAAAUAUUCCAGAAACCAAUCUGGUUAGUUGUUUUUUCACAUUUUCAGUGCAUGCCGGUGCUGCUGUGUGCGGCAUGCAUGGAGUUGUCGUGGGAGUGCACGGUGGCUUAGCUGGUGCGCCAGUGCGCGGGCACGAACACAACGGUGAAGAUGGCAGGGCCAUCUCAAAGCUCCUGAGCACCUGCACGCGUCGCUGAGCAGGACAUGCUGCGACGGUGGGCGAGCGCUGCUAACGCCCUGGGGAAGAGCAGUGGGUGCAGAGAGAGGGAGCGAGGGAGAGGGGUUCUUGUAUAUGUUUGCUAGCGUGGCACCGUUUACGGUGCCCGCCUAAGUGGCAUUCACGUGUCAUUCAUCCCAAAUGGUGUUGCAAGGUUGAACCUAUUGUGGGAGGCUUUUGGUUUCCCUUGACCAAGUAUCACCAGUGAUAUCACUGCGUUCUGGUUAUGUACGAAACACUUGUCCUUUUAAAACCUUUCUGAAUUUAGAAACGAAUUUGAAACAUUACCCUCAUUUCCAUGUUUUUCUAUCUUUUGUCCCUGUAAAAUCAAACUAAAUUUGAAUUAUUAUGUUCAGAACUACAAGCUGAUUUACUUGUCCCAUUUGCUAAUAACAGGGCCUUGUGAUUUCUAAUGAACAUUGCAGAGCAUGUUAUAAAGCGUAUGCAUGAACACCAAGGGGAUGAAACCAUUGGUAUAUUUCUCAUAACCUUUUGAACUUAUCAUUUAGCAUAUUUGUGUUCUAGUGUGACGUUUCAGCCACGAGACAUGAGAAAUGUUAGCUAUGGAUUUUGGUUAUUCAUCAUGGGUUCACAGAUUUGUUUUUCUCUAAAAGAAUUGGGAAGUAGCUUUCUUUCUGGGUAUAUGUGGGGAAAUGCAUAUGCAAUCUUUUAUUUAUUGAGGUGACUGUAAAAUUCUUGUCUGACUGAAUAUGCGAUUUCAACCUACAUGCUAUACUUAGGGAAAUUUGUGAAUCUCCUAAUGUCUGCUGCAUGGCAUGAAUGCAUAUUUUACUGGUCCAUAAUGUGAAGUUCUGUAUAUAAACUUCUCGUGUUGACCCUUUAGAACAUGCUAACUGGAGAGUUUUCUAGAGUAGUUAAACAAGAGAUUUAGUUAAAUCUGCACACAUAGGUGGGGCCUGGCAUACCCUAAGAAUCGGCCUAGCCGGCCAGCCCAUUAGUAAAAAAAAAAGCACCGCAGUCAGCAGUCCCCACGUUGGUCUUCCUCGAGUCGCGACUCGCGAAGAUCCCAUCCUCCGAGUCCAAGAUGGUGGACUGUGUCGAGCGCGGGGCGGGCGAUUAGUUGCCCGGCCGCCGGCGGGGGAUGGCCGGACGGCCAGAUCGCCGACUCCUCUAGUCCUCCCUCCAGCCUCUGCGCUUCUUUCACAGUGGAGCUAGCGGCGAGGCGCCCGACCGACACCCUUCUUCCCAAAUCCCGGCAGCCCUGCCUCGAUUUGGCCUCCUCCGAUCAUUUGAUAAUCAAUUUGAUGAAAUUAAUAUGGAGUUGCUUUCUUGUAUGGUUGCCUUCAAUCCUGCUAAUUCAUUUGCUUCAUUUGAUGCACAAAAGAUACACAGACUUGCUAUAUUUUUAUCCACAAGACAUCACAAGCACGGAUUUGCUAAAACUUGAAUUCCAGCUCGAUAUUAUAUUGAUGAUGUGAGAUAGGAUGAUAGUUUCAAAGGCCUACAAGAUCUUGUUAACUGAGACUCAGUUAAGCUUGUUGAAACAAACAGGCAUAAUAUUUAUGACUUGGUUUACUUGCUUCUCAAAUUGGUAUUGGUUCUUCCUGUGGCGACAGCUAGUGUUGAAAGGGAUUUUUGUGCAAUGACUUUGAUCAAGAGUAAGCUAAGAAAUAAGAUGGGUGAUAGUCUUUUGGAUGAUUGUCUUAUCACAUUCAUUGAGAAAGAUAUUUUCUUUGAAGUGGAUGAAGAAGAUAUAAUUAAGACUUCAUAUCCAUUAGAAAUCAUAGGCUGGAGAAGAAGUAAUAUUUUAAUUUUCUUUGAACGUUAGGUCUGUAAGCUUCUUUUAAACUAUCUACAUUAUAAUUUAUGGACCUUUUAAUUUAACCGUUGAAUUCAUGAUAUUAUGAGAUUUUUUUAUCUAUGUUAUUAUUGUUUACCGAUUUAUUACCAAAUUAUUAGUUUGAUCUUACAAUAUUGUAUUUUGGAUGAUUGGCUCGGCAUACUCUAAGUUUAAAUCCUAGCUCCGCCACUGUUUGCACAUUAAUGUGGCUUAUAUGUGUGGAGUCACUUAACCUAUGCACUUGGACCUCCACUCCCUUAGGUUUUAUGAACCUAAUUUGACAGCCUGCUCGUCUUUUAUUUUCUACCAAUCAGCUAGGAACGAACAUGGUGAUGUUUGCAUCUCUUGCAUCAAUGGCUUACAUGUCAUUAUGUAUCACAUUAGCAAGUCUUGUUUUGUUAUUGGCUGGGAUGACGGGGACUCUAGCUGGAAUUGAAUCAAAGUGGUAGAUCACAGGGUAUUCAUUGCCAUGUAUUUCUGCAGUUGCAUGGACUUGCAUCAAACGGACCUUCCUACUUAUGUGAUUGUCCUAUAUGAUCUCCUUUGAUUUCAUUUGCACACUGUAAUCACAUUAGCUAGAACACUCGCUUUUUGCUUCAAAUUUGAAAUUCAUAUCAUGAUGGACUAGAACGCUGAAUUUCUUGAUUGCUGAGUUACUAAUCACAUUGUGGCGCUGCCAAAGAAGCUGGACUCUUCAUUGUUGUUGCCUUGUGGGCUGCCGUGUGCAAAGAACAAGAGCGCACGGUAUUAUAAUAGCAGAGCUGAACACAGACAAGCGACAAGGAGCGGAGCAGAGCAGAGCACAGCCAAGCACAAGCAGUAGAGUAGAGCAGAGCAACCGGGAGAGGAGAGGGCACAUAUGCAGAGUAGAGCAGAGCCAAGCGCAAGCAUUCAUGCACUCAAGCAUGCAGCAGAGGUGUAGCAAGGCAAGCACAAGCAGCAGAGCAGAGGGAAGGGAAGGCUGGGAGAUGAAUAGGCGAAUAGUUACCUGGACAGAGCAGAGGGAAUGGAGAUGAUGCAGAUGCUUCCGGAGACUGGAGAUUUGGAGAGGAACAAGGCCACGUUGUGAACAAGGUCUCCUUUCUCUUCUCUAUUUCCCGCGCAAGUACUUGUGCAUAGUGGCUGCCUCAUCCUCCAGGACGCCCACUUCAACCUGAGGCGGGUGCCACAGACAUCCUGGCUAUGCGACGGCUACCCCCAGCACACCCCCAGCGCCUAUGAACCAUGAUCCUAAUACUAUAAAUUGUCAACCUUGUAAUCUUAUUUCAAGCAUGCUUUCUAUGUCAACCUGUAAGGUUAAUUUCGUUUUUCCUUUUCUGGGUAGGGGAGUGGAUAUUGCUGUUAUUUAUAUUAUGUUGAUAUUGGUUUCCACAUGUCAUUCACCCCAAAUGUGUUGCAAGGUUGAACCUAUCAUCGGAGGAAUUUUUUUCCCUUUACCUUUAUAUCACUACGCUCUGGUUAUGUAUGAAACACUUGUCUUCUUAAAAACCUUAAUUUAGAAACAAAUUUGAAACACUAUCUUCAUUUACAUCCUGUAUGUGUUUUCUACCUUUUGUCCUAUAUGAUCUGCUUUGAUUUGAUUUGUGCAUAGUUUUUUCAAUUCAGACCUGGUGAUCUCUGAGGUUCAUGUUGUGCUGAUAAGCAGCCUACUAUUCAGUAACACUUUCAUGUGGCAUGUUCAUGUUAGCUAGCUAGAAACACUGCUUUUAGCUUCAAAAUUCAAAUUCAUGACAUGAUGGACAUUGACAAUGAAUUUCUUGAUUGCCGAGCUAUGUACACUGUAAUUCAGACCUGGUGCUUUUAGUUUUUUUCUUGAUUGCCGAGCUAGAAACACUGUGCUUUUAGUUUUUUCAAUUCAGACCUGGUGAUUUCGGUUUUUUCAAUUCAGACCUGGUGAUUUCUGAGGUUCACGUGUCACACCGAUUUUAAGAACAAAAUCGAGUGCAUUAAAUAUACAUGUACGCUAGGAUCAGGUUACACACAUGUACGACAUAAGCGAAUAUCAAAGACAAUGCCAUAACGAAAUAAAGAGAGUAUUAAUCAUUAUUACAUGACCGAAAGUCUCAAAUAAACCACAAAAUCUAUUUAUUACAUAGCGGAACUCCUAAGAUAGCAACGUCUCCACAGGCAGCUGACUGAAGAACUGUAUGCCUAGAACUCUUCAAAAUCGUGCAGGUACUCCUCCAGAUUAGCUUGGUAUGAACAACGGUUUUGCAAGGGUGAGUACACUUAUGGUUGGUACUUAAUAAGUCGUGGGAAACAAUGUAGUGUAAGGCAAAUCAAGGUAUGGCUAAGGCUUAAACAGCAUCAGCUUUUAAUUUAGUUGGUCAAAUUUUAUUAGCAAUUAAUUAGACGUAAAUUUAUACCACCCGAAAUUAAACAAGAACAUGAAUAAAAUAAUAACAUAACCAUAAAUGAAAUGACAACAAUUUAAAUCCAUCUUUUCAUAGCAUUAUCAUGUGAGGGUCCAGUCCGCUCUUAACCGUGAGCACCGCUGAUCGAUCAGUUUUACACUCUGCAGAGGUUGUACAUCUUUACCCACAAGUCGCGUAAAAGUUCAAAAGAAUUUUGGACCCAACCAUGCGGUGUUUGCAAGGCACCAUACCACACUUCCAAGGUGUGAUUGCAUAUGAACGCUACGAGGCCUUUACAAAGAUUCAUUAGUAAGUGGUAACCCGCUAAAGUUUCGGUAUUUGGCGUGCACAACCUAUCACAGGCCGCUAAUGCAACGACUCAGUCCCCCCUCUUGCCUCAUCACGAGUAAGAUUACCCCAGACUAAGGUUUCUAAUUAUUCAGCCAAGAUCAGAACCAUUUAGUCUUGUGGUAGCACUGUUUUCUUGGGUGGUUCUCCAUGUUCCGAUUAAACAUAAUGGUCUUGUAUUAAUGGAAGGUAUAACAUAAAUAAUACCAAAUUAAUAAUAAUUCAGAUUAAAUCACCAUAACCAUAUUUGAGCACUAAGCAUGAGCUACCCAACAUAAAUUUAACCCGGUUGGUCAAGGCAAGGUAGAUAAAGUCUAGGAAAUUCUUAAUUGGGACCCAUCAAGUUUAAAUUAUACUUUGCAUGGUAUUGUUGCAUAGAACAUGAAAGUAAAUGUGAAUAGGACUGAAAAGGAGUGAUUAGGGACACGACUUGCCUUUUUAACCUUGUUCUUGCUGUUCGUACUCCUCGAAAACUUUGAUCUUCAAAUCCCUCGAACUGCUGACCGUCUACACGCGUCACACGACCACAUACAAGCAAACAAAUAUAAUACAUAAGAAAACAGUACACCAAUCAUAAUUAAAUAGAAGAAACAAAUUUGAAAAGCUAUUCUACGCAUUAAAACGAAAACACGGAUACAAGGAACGUUAAAAACGGAGCUACAGUGCAAAAACUACGCUUAAAACAAGAUGCAGGGGUAUAACUACGAGAAACCAAACUUCCAGGGAUUUAAUUUUAAAUAAUUUUGAACUGCAGAAGGGGCAGCAGGGAAAAACGUAGAAAAUGCAGGGGCUUAAGCGCAAAAGCAUGGCUGCUGACUCAGCUGACUUGAUGUGGAUCGUCGGAUGGCGAUCCGGCGGCCGGCAGCUGCUGCGCUGACGUCAGCGACGGCGAGCGCCGGCGAAAAACGGCAGUUCGCCGGAAUCGCCCGGGAACGCGCGACUGGGUGCAGAUUUGAGCGAGGAUUAGACUAGCAGAUAGAAACGAGCGCAGUGAACUCAUUUGGGAUGCCUACGGCGAGGACUUGGCGACGGCAUCGGCUCCGGCGAGAACUUGCGGCAGGGAAACCAAAUAAAAUAAAAUAACACGGUUCAGAGAAGCGGCGCUGGAGGAACGCGAGCGAUUUUGCGUGCGAGCGGAAGAAAACACUGCGAGGAAGAUGACUGCGGGCCCUGCUUGUCUGCGGCAGGAGGAGAGCUGCGUGCGAGAAGAACCUGGCCACGAUCUGGGCCGUUGCCUUCGAUCUGGGCCGAGGCAAGCUAGCUGGCCCGCUGCUGCGGAAAGGUGCUGGGCCACGGGCGGAGCACAGCGUCGGGCCAGAAAGGAGAUGGCUGCUGCGAGGAAACAAAAGAAAAUGAACUGGGCUGCGACAGAGGAAAACUGGGCGUCGGCCAGAAAGAAGCUGCGUGCAGCUUGCUCUUGUUUCCGAACUAGAAACAGGAACUGACGGAAAGACAGAAAUCAAUUGGAGACUGAAACUGACGCCCCAGACUCUGAACUUCGAAAAAACAGGACAACCAGCCAACUGACAGAAAAAAAAAAAGCUUAACAACCCAAAAGCAGUACACAACCACGAAACCAGGCCACAAGACUGAAAAAGCUUGAUAGGAACAUCUGGCGACUGAACCAAAAAACUACAGAACUGCAACUGAAGAACUAGAGAACAGAUAAAUAACUGAUUGAACUCUGAAACUGAAACACCAAAGAGCAGGAAGCUGACUGACGGAAAAUGCAAAACAGCAACCCAAGGUGAAACACAAAUCCUUCUUCAAGCAUUCAAACAAAGAGAUAUGCAACAGCAUGAAUGCUCAAUAAAAUCCUAUAUUUCAUUAAUUAAUUAGAAAAAAUGCUCAAAUGCCUAGAAAAAUGCAAAAGUGACCUUAUAUACCUUAAACAAGCAAAUUCGUUUCUAGCGAUUUUUGGUAAAAUGCAAAAUUAGAGAUUUUGGGUGUUACAUCAUGUUGUGCUGAUAAGCAGCCUACUAUUCAGUAACACUUUCAUGUGGCAUGUUCAUGUUAGCUAGCUAGAAACACUGUGCUUUUAGCUUCAAAAUUAAAUUCAUGACAUGAUGGACAUUGACAAUGAAUUUCUUGAUUGCCGAGCUAUGUACACUGUAAUCACAUUGUGGGGCUGAUAAAAUAAGCAGCGUUGAGACACAUAACAAUUGAAUCUUAAGCUUCACACAGAAUCUGGACCAGUCAUCCUCAUUCCUGUCAUGCUGGAAAUGUCUUUGAUACAUUUCAAUCACAGGCAAUUGAAUUCGUACUGGGGAGGAUGGCAAUGGUGCGUGAAGAGAGAUCAAUGUGGCAAAUCUCACAUUGUUCAUUACCAGGUAUCUCCGAUUUCUGGUUAUUUUAAAUUUACCUUGACAUGUGACUUAUUGAGGUAUUGUAUUUCAUCUAAUGGUAGUUCUGAAUUUAUGGUAACCUUGGAUGGGGUUUGUCACUUUAUACACGCACGGACUUACAAAGGACAGCAAAUGAGUAUAUUUAGAGGGCUCCUGUCCAACCAUGGACUAUACUUAUGUACCCUUUUUUGACAUGGUAAUUUGAGGUUAAUGGAAAAGUAGCGAUAGUCGCCUCCAGCGAAGCUACCUUCUUCGAAAGCUCCGAGGCUGCUUUCUCGCUCUUAGCAAGCCGAUCCCUCGUAAUCAUCGAAGAGUAAGAGACCUACAGAUUUUAAAAACCAAGUUACCAAAAAUAACGAAGUAAAAGACAACACUCGCAAGACAAACCACCAAACUAUCUCAUAAUUGUACCUUCUUUACGAGGUUCGCCUCCAAGUUAAAGAGCUCUUCCAAGAUCAUUGACUUCACAGCUUGCUGAAAAUCUAUGCGCCAAAGGAUAUAGUCGUAAGCAUAAAAUAAAAAUUGGUAAAAACCAAGGACAGCAAAGCCAUCUACAAGCUGUUCUUACCCUCAUACUUUCGCACCUCAACGGCGAUCGGAACAACCUUCUCUCUAGCCUCGCCCUUAGACGCCACCACAAUCUUCCCGCCACACAAAUCCACAACCUGUCCUUUACCUUUGCCCUCUCCCGAAGUCGUCGUGCCCGCCUUCUCCACCCUUUUUGAACCGCCAACAUCUGCAUAGCGCUCGCAACCUUCACCUUCAGCCCCCCAGACCAAAGACAGGUUGUGAGGAUUAUAAACCCUACCUUCGGCGCAUGUAGCUAGAAUCUCCGUGCGCCCGCUCAAGCCCAGACACUCAUUCAGUCCCUGAAGCCCCGCCGGCAACCUCUCACCUACAUCAUAACAUUCAACUUUUAGCCUCACAUGAUCCUCACAACUAACCUUACCAACGCCCCCCAUAGUUUCUUCCAAGUCCUUCAAAAAUUUUGUUGAGGCCUCACCACAAUCAAAGAACCGUAGCAUCGAUAGAAACACCUCUACAUGCUUACCAGAUCUCACAGCUUCGGCACACCCACCCUUUGGAUCGGAUGAGAACGCAUCCACAAGCUUCGCCUUUUCAGUGGCAAACCCCCUCUCAAGUUUCCCAACAUCAGUCAAGAGAUGUUGCGCGCUCUUAAACUUCGAGCUUAUGGAAGGCACCGUGAUCUUGGUACCAGCUGCCGAAGACGCGUCAACCUUGGCACCCGUAACAGUAACAGGAGCAAAUCGAGGUUUCUUGGCGCCUCUUUUGAUCCGCGCAGCGGGCCCGGUGGAUGAAGGUGCAAGAGCUGGAACCUCCUUAGGAGGGCGCAUAGAGACAGGAACAACAUGUGCCGGAUUGCUCAAGUCGCCAGACGAAGCUGUCGACCACGAUGGCAACAUAGCAGACGAAGCCCCCGCGGUCAUUUCCUUCCUUUUUUGCGCCUCCAAAUUCAAGGUCUUUUGCUUCGCCUUAGCGGUCACUUGCAAUUCAAUAGUGAGCUUCACCACGGGUACGAAGUCAAAUUUUGCCUUUUUCCUCUGCUCAAGACUAGCACCGCGACGGCGCCUCUUGCCCGUAACUUUGGGGUGAGGCAGAACCACAAUAUCAUACAAGUCAAAAAUCUGAGAUGAUGACAUUCCAUUUGUAUCCAUGAUUUAUAUUGUGUUCCUUGAAUAUCCAUUAAAGUCUACUUGAAUUGAUUUGCAAUUAUGUGAAUUGUAUGUGAAACUCUUUCCUUGUAUGGUUAUUCUAAAGUUGUCCCUAGUCGGAGUUCAUGUGAGGACACAUGAAUAUUAGACUAGCACAUGUAUUAGAUGAUGACUAUGUUUCACAAGUCAUGGACAUGAAGAUGUGGAACUAAUAAUGUGGGCACAUGUGGAGACACGUGCUAGGACUGACCCAACACGAGAAGUAGUUCUCUCUUUAUACAACAUAUACGCUUUGUCCUUAGACCUGAGAUUGUCGCAUGUACUCAAGAUGUGGAUUGACUUACUUAGGGGCUAUCAAAUUCUACGCCGUAACAGGGUAGUUAUAAAGGUAGCUUUCGGGUUUGUCAAGAAGCAUGCUAUGAGACAUGGUCAAUCAAGAUGGGAUUUGCCCCUCUCUGAUUGAGAGUGAUAUCUCUGGGCCCCUCGAGUGAUCGGAUCCGAAAAUGCAUGGCCAUGCUACAUACGGUUAAGAGUUAGCCUACAAAGGGAUUCCGAAUCAUAGGAUCGAGAAAGAGCGGUCGGCUUGAAGCUAGACCAAAUAUCGUGAGGCAAAGGGAAUAGCAUGUAUAUAAUGUUGUGAUGGUUCGUCUGAUAUGAUCUUCGUGUGCGUAUAGGAGUUGGCACGUCUUGCUAGAGGUCGCUACCGACUAUUGGGCCGAGUAGGAGUACUCAGGCCAUGUCUAUACGUAUCCGAACCCAUAGGGUCACACACUUAAGGGGCUGGAAGCCCAAUUCGGAUGUGAUCCGAAUUGGAUUAGGUUUAGAAGUACUAAUGGGCCUUGGACCCAGAGGUCCGUUAGGAACCUCUAUAAAUAGAGGGGUGGGGGCGCCCUAGGGUUUACACCUUUUUGGUGAAACACAUCUGCCGCGCCUCCCACGCCCUCGCCUGUUGCAACUCGCGGACCUAGCAGUCCGGCUUGCGACGCUUCCUCCCUGCACGUGUGGAUACCUUGGAAGUGUUGCUCCUGCAGCACUUGGACGAGCCGCCAAUGAGCCACGACGAGCCACGAUGAGCCGACGAUGAGCCGCGGCACGAGGGGGAUCUUGCUGCACGUGGACGAGCUGCUGAGGAGCUGCUGGACGUCGAUGUGUUCGACUACGUACGACUACGCUGAUCGACUUCGCUGCAUCAACGCGAAUCUACAUCUUCCGCAUCAUUGCAUCGAGUGGUAAUCCCGUGAUCCUGAUACGGCAGUUUUCCUAGUUUACGCGGUAGAAAAUUUUAUUUUGCGCUAGUGUAGCCUACCUCAUAUCCCAACAACGUGUGCUAUAGGUCACGCAAGCCUGAAAAUGGCCACACCGGACACCGGGUACGAAAACAUGGGGGAUGGACCGAACAUUUGAAAAUGGCCUCCAUAUGUGUUUUCGGCUAUGAAAACGUGUGUUAUAGGUCACGGAAGCUUGAAAACGGCCGCACCAGCCACUAGGGACGAAAACGUGGGGGAUGGACCGAAGACAUAAAAAAUAGCCUCCAGACGCGUGUUCGGCCAUGAAAACGUGUGGUAUAGGUCCUGGAAGGCCAAAAACAGCUACACCGGCCACCUGGGAUGAAAAAGUUUGUGUAAGACCGAACACUUGAAAAUAGCCUCUGGACGCGUGUUCGGCUAUGAAAAGGUGUGUUAUAGGUCACACGAGCCCCAAAACAACCACAGCGAACACCGGCUACAAAAACAUGGGGGAUGGAUCGAAUAAUUGAAAAUGGCCUCCAGACGUUUGUUCGGCCAUGAAAUCGUGCGUUAUAGGUCGCGGGAGCCCGAAAACGGCCACACCGGCCACCGGGAAUGAAAAUGUGGGGGAUGGACCGAAUAAUUAAAAAUGGCCUCCGGAUGUGUGUUCGGCCAUGAAAACGUAUGUUAUAGGUCACGGGAGCAUGAAAACGGCCGCACUGGCCACUGGGGACGAAACGUGGGGGAUGGACCGAAGACGUGAAAAUGGCCUCCAGACGCAUGUUCGGCCAUGAAAAUGUGUGCUAUAGGUCAUGCAAGGCCAAAAACAGCUGCACCAACAACCGGGGACGAAACCAUGGCUGUCAAACCGAACGCUUGAAAAUCGCCUUCGGACGCGUGUUUGGAUAUGAAAACAUGUGUUGUAGGUCACGCGUGCCCGAAAACGUCCACAACGGACACCGGGUACAAAAACGUGGGGGAUGGAUCGAAUAACUGAAAAUGACCUCCGAACGCGUGUUCGGCCAUGAAAACGUGUGUUAUAGGUUGCGGGAGCCCAAAAAUGGCCACACCGGCCACCGAGGAUCAAAACGUGGGGGAUUGACCGAACAAUUAAAAAUGGCCUCCGAUUGUAUGUUCGGCCAUGAAAACGUGUGUUAUAGGUCAUGGGGGCCCAAAAAUGGCCGCACCAGCCACCAAGGACGAAAAUAUGGGGGAUGGACCAAAGACAUGAAAAUGGCCUCCAGAUGCAUGUUUGGACAAAAGUGUGUGCUAUAUGUCGUGCAAGGCCAAAAACAGCUACACCAGCCACCGGGACGAAAACGUGGGUGUUUGACUAAACAAGUGAAAAUGGCCUCCGGAAGCAUGUACGGCUAUGAAAAUGUGUGCUAUAGGUAAUGGAAGGCUAACAAAAGCUACACCGGCCACCGGGGACAAAAUCAUGGGUGUCAGACUGAACACUUCAAAAUGGCCUCCGGACGCGUGUCCGGCUAUCAAAACGUGUGUUAUAGGUCAUGCGAGCCCGAAAACAACCACACUGAACACCGGGUACAGAAACAUGGGGGAUGGACUGAAUAACUGAAAAUGGCCUCUAGACGCGUGUUCGGUCAUGAAAACAUGUGUUGUAGGAUGCGGGAGCCCGAAAACGGCCACACCGGCCACCAGGGCAUGGACCAAACAAUUGAAAAUGGCCUCCGGAUGUGUGUUCGGCCAUGAAAACGUGUGUUAUAGGUCACGGGAGCCCAAAAAUAGCCGCACCGACCACUGGGGAUGAAAUCGUGGGGGAUGGACCGAAGAUGUGAAAAUGGCCUCUAGAUGCGUGUUCGGCCAUGAAAACGUGCGCUAUAAGUCAUGUAAGGCUAAAAAUUGCUACACCGGGACUAAAGCAUCCCCCAUGAGUUACAAUAAAAGGAUUGUAUCCUCUACUCAGUCGGAUGUACUGUGUAGGUGAGAUGGUAAGGAAGCUAUGCGCGUGGUUUGAGGUUGUGGGUUGAAAUCCUACGCACCGCGCGCACACGCGCAUAUUUUGUGUGAAAAAUCAUGUGACUUGUGAUCGGCCAAGGAGAAGUGGGUGCAGCUGUGGCUUAAGUGGCUGAGGCACGCUGCCAUAGACAUCUCCGAUUUGCUCGAAGACUACCAAGACACUAGCAAUAACAAGAACUACUGCUCUUCCUAGCAGACUCUUCACAACCACUUUAAAGCUGUGCAUUUCUCAAUGCAAUUUCGUAGAAGGCAAUCGAUCCAACCACGCGACUAAAUCAUUUGUUCUUGCUAAUGAUGUACAUCAGGUUUUCUAUAUGAAGGACAUGUCUAGCAAACCUAAGAUUUUAGAAGAAAAAUAAAAAUUAUGGGAGUCAAUAAUAAAUCAGGCCAAUCAGGAGAUUAUAGUAAGCUCGAUGGUAUGCCUCCAUUCGAUGUCGAAGUUGGCCCAAGCAUCAUGUUAGCCAAAGAUCAAAUGUUCGUGCAUUGCUACGGUAAAGAUCAAUUGUGUCUUUUAAACCCAUGGAAUUUUUUAUCUAUGUUUUUAUUACACUUAAUGGAUGUCUACACAUUUGCUAGAAAAUCAAAAUAAUUUUGACUUAAUUAUUUCUUUCAACUCAAAUACUCAUUAAAUUUCUACCUUUUUAUUUAAGCAAGAGAGUUGCUCAAAAAAUGGAUACGUAACCAUGUUGUAUCAUACAAAGCAACCACAUUUCACAUAUAGUCUGGCUUAGCAAACACCAUUGUUGUCUUAACAUAGUGUUCAUGAGUUAGUAGACAUGGAUCUAUUUCUAAUUGCAAGUAGUGCAGCGUACAACCAGCCUGCACCGCCGCAGCUCAAUAUGCGAUAAUUUUUUAUCUUCCCAUGUAAUUUUUCUACUCUAGUACAUAUUGAACUCCACAUAAAUGUCAUGUUCUUUCACGCCACAGACGGUUUCUAAAGUUUGGGAACUAAAUAGAUAGCCAAAAAUUUUAAAAAAAUAUUUAUAUGGAUACAUGUAUGUUCUUUGCAAACUAACAAUAUUGUUUACAAUAUCAAAAGGAAUAUGGCUAUGAUCAUUGCCGCAUAUGGCAGGUGAUGGUAGAUGCCGUAUGGGGUUUCUUUAACUUAAUUGUAUAAUAAGCUGAAAUACAUUUUCUAUUUGCAAAUGAAUCAUAGCUGAAAGUGGUGGGAUUGUAGAACCGCCGUCCAUCGUGUCCUUGUAGGACCGCUGCACGAGCCUGUGAGCCACCAGCCACCAUGCGCCCAAGGGCCAUCACCACGCCACAAGAGGAUGCUGUCUACCCGGUUUCGCGCGCCUGUGCUAGCUGCCUGAACCUGGGCCGCCGCCGGUCGCCUGCCCAGCCGCGCGUUGCGCCAGGGUUUUGCUGGUGACGACCAUGGCCUUCGCGAUCAAAUUAAAAAGUUAUCAACUGCAAAGUAUUAGGCCUCGUUGAGCUCUACAAUUUUGAUAUAAAGUUUCUAUUCAUCUGAGAUCAAAUAAAAAAUUUGAUACUCAAAACAUAAAUCCAUUAAUCUAGUCUUGCUAAUCCUUACCACCAAAUAAAAAACUAGCAUGUGUUGUGUGUUUGUGACCCUAAACGAUCACAAAUGAAUAACUUAUGGACCUUGCUAGCGCCCGGAUGUCCAGGCCGGGGCACUAGCAUCAGACCCACGAGUAGCCGUCCGAUCGGGUUCGACACCACUUCAGGAUCUGGCUUAAAAAGAAGUCCCACCGAAACAUUGUUCCAUGUUGCAUGAAGCAACCCACUACCGUCGCCAGGUCUAGAGCAAGCACCACCUUCAAAUCUGCUGCUCACCCUAGCUAAAUAGGGGCAUUAAAAUAUUUCUCGCAUAUCCUUCUCAAAUUAAACAAAAUCGCAACAUCUGAAAAUUUUUACAGAAAACCAUGAAACAUAUCGAUUAGAUAGAUGUAACAAGAUGGAAUAUGGUAUAUGCAACAUAUAGGUUCCGAAAAGCAGAUGAAAUAUUAUGUAAUGAUUCUUGAAACAGUCGAGAAAAAUAGAUGUAACAUCUAAAAUUAAGAAAAGAAGCUUUAUGCAAAUUGCAAAAAGCUGAAACAAGUGGUUGAAACAUUUCAAAUCACCAAAUGCCACAUUUGAAAUGACCAGAUGAAACAUCACGAAAUCAAUUGCAACAGUUGAAGAUGAAAACAUUCAAAUGCCUUGCCUUUCUCCAAAUUUGACCCUCCAAGCAUGAGUCCAGCCAUUUGCACAUUAGACCCUUGGGAGGAGCUCACCGGAGAACAACAAGACCGUGUUAUCCAACAAUUUUCAGAUCAAAUUGCAACAUAAAGAACAAAGCAUUGCAACAUCUGGCAUCACGAGCUACAACAGCAACCAGUUAGGAUCAGGAGAAAGAGGGCAAACACAAGCCUAACAAUGAGUUAUAUCCGGUUUAAACAAGGAUAAAAAUGAGUGUAUUUUACACUCAUCAUGUUGUCUUUUCGCAGCUGUACCGCCUUUAGCGUGUUGUAUUGUUCCUAACACCAAGUCUCCGAGGCCCGAAAAAAUAAGGAAAGUGGUAGCAGCUCAGAAAUCGACUAAGUUUCUUUCCCCCUUUGGCUUUCCUACUAGGAUUCGGAAUCCUCUUUUGUAUGACAAUCUUAAUGAUCUCCCAUAGUCCAAAACUCACAAAAACAUCAAAAAUCCACCGAGAAUAAAUUAAGUAAAAAAACAUGCACACACAGAUAAUAAUAGUAAUCAUGUUUCAUUAUGAUUGCUAAGGUCAGACACAAUACAUAAACAUAUUAGACUGAGUGACCCACCUCACCUCAGAGUAUGCACCAUGUCUGAGUGACCCACCUCACCUUGCCAGGACACUGGUCCUGCCCUCGUGGUUCACGCGCCCUCGUGGUUCAGCAGUGGUCAGUACACAAAUCUAGCUGCCAGUCGGAUCCAAGGGCAGGCAUUUGCAUUGUGGUUGUGUUUGAACAUGGAGAUGUCAUUAUUAUUGUCAGGCACCAUACAUCCUCUCUCAGUUUCACUCCGCCUCACACACGGAUAGCACACCAGGGACCCGACACCAUGCAUGCCGAUUUCAUAUUAUUAAUAUUUAAUUUUUUUAAUGGUUGUUGAAACUAUAUUGUUGAUAUUUUUAUACAUAAUUUACGACCUAAUUUGGAUAUAUUUUUGAAAUAUUCCGAAAUCUUAAAUUCACACGUCUAGAGAUACAGUUAGUCCAAUCUGAUGUUUCCGAUUAUAAAAAUGAACAUAAAGAGAUAGGAAGCGAGAGACGUGAGGGGGAAAGUGAAAUUAGGGCCUAAGGGGUGAAGUUAGGGUUCCAGGUGAGCUGUCAUCACUACGUGUUUUUAAUCGAAAUUGGAAUGUCAGCAAUCGUCAGAUCUUGAGCCAACAGUUGAGACUGCCUCGGAAUGGUAAUUAGGUCUGCGCGAGCUUGCAUUGUGGCCUUCCUUGAAACCUUGGACAUAGGUGUUAUAUUAUUAUGUUCUUGCCAGCACACAGCAGACGACACAGUUGAGAUGUGCAUCACAUUUUCUAUAUGAAGGAUAUGUUUAGCAAACCUAAGAUUUUAGAAGAAAAAGAAAAAUCAUGGGAACCAAAGCGCCACAUAGUUCUUCCAGGUAAAAAAAAAUCAUCCACUAGACCAACACAUAUAGUAACGAUCCAAAAAGUCCAUAUUAAGAUUUUUUGAUAGCAGAAAAAACAUAAAAUGUCUAAUAUUUGUAGUAUUAAAAGGAAAAAUAAUAUAUUCACUUGACCUUUUUCCCGUAGCAACGCACCCGGUACGUGGUCAGACUUAAUGCACGAUGCCUAAGCAUCCAUUGGGCCUACCCUCGUGUGGAUCACGCGCAACAGGACACGGCUCACAAGCUAUGAUGUGCAGCAGUCGCUCAGAUGGCUGAAAGGUACCCUUAAUUUGAUGGUACCAUAUAUAUAUAUAUAUAUAUAUAUAUAAACAAGACAAACCACCGUUGAUACUACUUUGCACUACUUGAUACAUAUAUCUCCACCAAAAGCGAGGCACGUGGGGAGGAGACGAUAUGUGGUUGAUGGUACGGGUACGUGACGAGCGCACCGUACGAAAAUUUUGCUCGCGUCGGACGACUGAUGUGAAGCAUUACCCAAUCUUAAUUAUCUCGCAUAAUCCAAAACUCACAACAACAUCAAAAAUCCGUCGAGAAUAAAUUAAGUAAACCAUGCACACACAGAUAAUAAAAUUGCUAAUAAGGCCAGAGACAAUACAUAAACAUAUUAAACUGUUCAUGACACAUAUCACGGUGGAUAGUGUCUGUGUCCUUAUUACAAGCAAUGAGAGAUGCUUGUCACCACACACACGCACAGAUGCACGACAUACAUAUAGUUGAGACCAACAGAUGGAUCAACUAGAGGUCACCCCAUAUGGUGAACAAUUUAUUGGAGAUAAACAUUAACAUAACUUGGCCAUAGCUUGAAGCAUAGCAACAUAUGCCUAUGAACGGCGUUCAUGCUAUCAUUUUAGGCUUGUCCGCUUCUUCCAUCUUAGCAAGCACUUCCAUUUCUACCAUCUUAGAAGCAACUGUCAAAUUGAGAUAUGGAAAUCCCAUUAGCGCAUGAGUUAAUUUUACAGUGAAAAUAGAGUACAAGAUGUCUUCAUGAUGUAAGUAACAUGCCUGAAGUUGUGAGAUGGGAAGUGAAGUCAACAAAUUACAUUAACGGAAAUGCAUGGAAGGCCACACAUACGUAUUAGUCCAUGAUAUGCUACAAAGCUUGUAUGUACAUAUAGCAAAUUAAAUGCAUUAAUUGAAUAGAGUGAGUUUAGUGAAUUUACCAGAAUCGUCCAGAAAACAUGGGAAACAGCAAGUGUUCUUGCAGACUGCGUCGGUGCCACCCACAGCAAUACAACCAAAACAACAUGCUUUUGCCCGAGCGGCUGAGCAGCAGCCGCACUCUGCCGCGGUGGCCGAGUUAGCAUUGAGGCUCAAGAUGACCAGGCACAUGAUCACCAUCAAAGCGGUAGUCCUCUUUCCCUCCAUUGCCUCCUCUUGCUGCUACCUUCCUUGGUUACCUAGCUAAGUUUAUUGGUUUUGUGUUGAGAGGUGAUUCUUGCAUUGAAUGGACGUUGCCGCGGCUGCAAUUUAUAGGCAGCUGCGCUAUGUGAUGAUAUGGACAAGGUGCAAAUGGGUGGUCCUGAUAUGGAUAAGGUGCAUGCGAAUGGCUGUCUACUUGUAUAGUGUAGCUCCAAUGUACAUACGUAUGUAUCUUAUGCAUGUAUACAGUUGAUGGAUGUACAUGUUUGUUGCACAAAUUCUGAACCAACUCUUCAUAACAGGUCUUUGUUACCAAGUAAUUUUACUUUUGCACGUUUCAGCCGAGAGGCAGAAGAGAAUAUUUUACAGAGAGGGCAGAGAAGGAGGUUGGCGGAGGCGCCGUGGUAGGGUUCCCCGUGUCGCCAAGAUUUUUGCAUUUUACAUGUGUGCAUUGAUCACUUCGUCGUGCUCGCGGGGCCCAACUCCAGGUUGUACCCCAGCAGACCACGUUCUGUUUCUCUGCCUCCAAUGAGCAUGCAUGCCUCCACAAGGACCACAAGACUUAGUAAAAAAGCUAAACUUUGCAACACGAUGUAUACAGAACGUUUUGAAAUGUACUCUCGUUAGGCAUUCACCUCCUUAACAAUCACUGCGACUGUAAAAUAGGUACAUCGACGCUAGCUAAAUAAACCACUAUAAGAUUUAGCAAGAGAUCAUUUUAUACAAUCCUGUAACGAAACAAUUUGACAAUUAUAGUGUCCAUAUAUUUUGACAAAAAAACGUUUAAAUUAUAUAAGGAGGUGGGCCCGAAAACGGUUGGAUUACAUCGAGAACGUUUUGAAACAGUUGGCGGAGCAGGAUUCUGGCGUGGAGCAUCUACAUUGUCGCGCGCGCGGACUGCCGGAGUAGGCACGCUCGACUUGUCCCAUCGCCAGCUAAAUGAUUUAGUACCGGAUGGUCUCUAGUACCGGUUGGAGCCACCGUCCACCGGGAGCUUUCCUAGUUUGGAACUGGUACUAAUGCUAAUAUUAGUAUCGGGUCAAAAACAAUCGGUACUAAGGCUAGGGAUGACACGUCAUUUUUCUAGUAGUGUGUGCAAUUGGUUUUGUAAUUAGUCUAUAUUUAAUACUUCUAAUUAGUAUCUAAAUAUUUUAUGUGAUAGGGACUGAACUUUAGUCCGUGGAACCAAACACCCCAUAAGUAUGUUUGGUGCUGUAAGGAUUUCCUAAGGUUUUAUUUAAUUUCCUAGGCAUUUAAAUUUCUUUCUAAAAUAAGUUAAUGAAUCAUAGGAUCUCAUUGUUGUAUUCAAGCUGGUGCAUUGAUUUUGCCUAUAAAACCCGCUGUGGUCUUCGCAGCCCCCAUCAAACCCUAGCGCCCUUGCCACAAGCUCAGCACCGCUGCCGCCCGAGCUCGAGCACUAGCACCCACCCAUCGUCGUUGCCUUCCCGUCGAUGGGAUCACCGCCCGGAGCUUCGCAUCGUGGUAAGGAAGCCGCCCGUGAAGAUCCCAUGUGCUCCUAUGCCCUCUACCGUGUCCCCGAGUUCCCGAAGUUGCUAGUCUCCUACUGAGCCGACUCUCCGAGCUUCACGUCACCGGUGCCGCUCCGAAGACCUAGUUCGGUUCGCCGUGCACCUCGCUUCAUCCUGAGCUAAACCCCAUAAUGAAUGGUGGCCGGAUGCUCGCCGCCACGGCGCGUCGUCUUUUUUGUUGCCCGUGCAUUGCCUAUCCCCUUCCAGCCGAUUGCAGCUGUCCAAUCGCAAACCGAUGGCCCUGAUCGGAUACCAAGGUCAAUACCGGUCGAACCGAGCCGUGCACUGCUUUUGCAAGAAGGCUCCUGUUUUUCUCUCUUUUUGCACCUGAGGUCCUACGCAGUUCAAAAGUAAUAAGAUCUAGGUCCUUUUUCUUUUGUUUUAGCCCGUGUUCUUUUAUAAAAUCCCGCCCACUAUUCUGUUUGGUCUUUUGACGCGUUAGACCUUCUGUUUAUAUGUUUAAUUAGGUUUUAGGUCUCGAUUUCUUUAAGUUUAGCCCUUGAAAGUUUAGUUCUCUCGCAGUUAAGCCCCUGAACCUUGUUUAGCUCAUAUCUUAAGCGUUUUAAAUCCGUUUUAACAGAUUCUUGCGCCUAUAAGUUCAUGUUGACGCAUAGAUUAGUUGACUUAUAUGAACCUUGCUGAUUAAGCUCCUUGAUUGUGCCUCAGAUCUCGCUAGGGAAGAAUAAUGGAUGGGCUUUGGUUGAGCUUGUAGAUCGACUUGCAGUUGCAGUGAAUGAGCAGAGGAUUGGCAGUGAAUAAGAGGCCGCUGCCCUGCUUGGUAGGGAAAAUAUCUGCUUGCUACCAAGGCCUGUGACGCAUGGACCCCAUUGAGAGUGCAUUAUUGACAAGGACUUAAAGCCAAGGGCUCCACACCUGUCAUUGAUCAGCUGUCUGCUGGGCGCUGCAAGGAGGUAGUGCAUGUUUGACAUAAAGAAGCAGGUGGCCCAGGAUUUACGAAGAAUAAGGAUCUAUUUGAUACCCUUGCUUAUAUUUAGGGGCUAAAAGUUGCUUAUUUGAAGUUGCUUAUUUUUAAUCCUAGCUGUUUGAUUGCAUGGGCUAAAGAGCAUUGAAUGAGGUGGACAUUGUCAUGUUUGCCUCUAAUGAUUACUUCCCAUCACAUUUCUCCCCCCUCAUUCAACGAGGGAAGGAGGUGUAAAGUGCACCUUUUAGCCUCGAUAAGCAACCCUUGUGUUGUUUACGGGCUGAACAUAAGUAGCUAAAGUUUAGCUCCAAUAAACAAGAGUGUUUGGUAUUUUUGGGGUUAAAAGGGGCUAAACUUUAGCUGCUUAUGCAUAAGCAAGGCCAUCCAAAUAGGCCCUAAGUAUGUUUGGCGUUGUAAGUAGGUUUUAUUUAAUUUCCUAGGCAUUUAAAUUUCUUUCUAAAAUAAGUUAAUGAAUCAUAGGAGUUCAUUGUUGCAUUCACGCUGGUGCAUUGAUUUUGCCUACAAAACCUGCUGCCGUUUCCGCAGCUCCCAUCAAACCCUAGCACCCCCGCCACGAGCUCCAGCGCCGCUGCCGCCCGAGCUUGAGCACUAGCGCACACCCAUCGCCGUCACCUUCCUGUCAAUGGGAUCACCGCCCGGAGCCCGCAUCAUGGUAAAGAAGCCGCCCGUGAAGAUCCCGUCCGCUCUCGUGCCCUCUACCGCGUCCCCGAGUUCACCGGAGUUGCCAGGCCACCACCCAGCCGCCUCUCCGAGCUUCAUGUCGUCGUUGCCACUCUAGCUGCCACUCUGAAGACCUAGAUCGGUUUGCCGUGCACCCCGCUUCAUCCUGAGCUAAACCCCAUCAUGCCACGUCAUAGUAAGGAAGCUGCUCAUGAAGAUCCCGUGCGCUCCCGUGCCCUCUACCGCGUCCCCAAGUUCACUGGAGUUGCUAGUCCGCCACCGAGCUGCCUCUCUGAGCUUCACUUCAUCGUCACUGCUCCAGCCGCCACUCUGAAGACCUAGAUGAGUUCACUGUGCACCCCACUUCAUCCUGAGCUAAACCCCAUGACGAACUGUGGUCGGAUGCUCGUUUUCGAGCGAAUUCCGGCGAGAUGGUCACCCGCCGCCGCCGUCUCCGUCGCCCAUGCACCGCCUGUCCCCUUCCAGCCGAUGUCCGGUUGCAAACCGAUAGCCAAAAUCGGAUCUGGUCACCAGGAUUAAUACCGGUCAAACUGAGCCACGUGCGCCGCUUUUGCAAGAAGGCCCCUAUUUUUCCCUCUUUUUGCACCUGAGGUCCUACGCAGUUCAAAAGUAAUUAGAUCAGGGUCCUUUUUCUUAUGUUUUAGCCCAAUUCUUUUAUAAAAUCCCGGCUGCCAUCCUGUUCGAAAUAGAUACGGUUAUAGAUAUGCAAACAUCUGCAUAUUUCCAACCGUAUCUCUUUUGAAUGGGAGACGCCUAACUAGGUUACGUGACAUACGAACAUCAUACGGAUAGAGAGGGGUAGGAUGCCUCACCUUGCUAUCCUACAAAGUGACGACUCGAGGACGGUAAUGUAGCCUCUCCUGCAAAAAAAGAACAUACUACUAUCAAGUUAAAUUUUCGACAGCACCUCCCCUGCACGUGGAGGUUUCCAUAACCUGCAUCAAAUAAAACGGCACGAUGGCUGACAACCACAUCUACAGCACCAGAAUGGCAUGAUGGCCGACUUCCACAUAAAGUUCUUAUACCUUAGAUUGCCAAGUCAAACAUCCUUUUCUAAUUUCUAAAACAAAAGCCCUACCACCUCUCUAUCUUAUUUCCUAUGGGCUNNNNNNNNNNNNNNNNNNNNNNNNNNNNNNNNNNNNNNNNNNNNNNNNNNNNNNNNNNNNNNNNNNNNNNNNNNNNNNNNNNNNNNNNNNNNNNNNNNNNNNNNNNNNNNNNNNNNNNNNNNNNNNNNNNNNNNNNNNNNNNNNNNNNNNNNNNNNNNNNNNNNNNNNNNNNNNNNNNNNNNNNNNNNNNNNNNNNNNNNNNNNNNNNNNNNNNNNNNNNNNNNNNNNNNNNNNNNNNNNNNNNNNNNNNNNNNNNNNNNNNNNNNNNNNNNNNNNNNNNNNNNNNNNNNNNNNNNNNNNNNNNNNNNNNNNNNNNNNNNNNNNNNNNNNNNNNNNNNNNNNNNNNNNNNNNNNNNNNNNNNNNNNNNNNNNNNNNNNNNNNNNNNNNNNNNNNNNNNNNNNNNNNNNNNNNNNNNNNNNNNNNNNNNNNNNNNNNNNNNNNNNNNNNNNNNNNNNNNNNNNNNNNNNNNNNNNNNNNNNNNNNNNNNNNNNNNNNNNNNNNNNNNNNNNNNNNNNNNNNNNNNNNNNNNNNNNNNNNNNNNNNNNNNNNNNNNNNNNNNNNNNNNNNNNNNNNNNNNNNNNNNNNNNNNNNNNNNNNNNNNNNNNNNNNNNNNNNNNNNNNNNNNNNNNNNNNNNNNNNNNNNNNNNNNNNNNNNNNNNNNNNNNNNNNNNNNNNNNNNNNNNNNNNNNNNNNNNNNNNNNNNNNNNNNNNNNNNNNNNNNNNNNNNNNNNNNNNNNNNNNNNNNNNNNNNNNNNNNNNNNNNNNNNNNNNNNNNNNNNNNNNNNNNNNNNNNNNNNNNNNNNNNNNNNNNNNNNNNNNNNNNNNNNNNNNNNNNNNNNNNNNNNNNNNNNNNNNNNNNNNNNNNNNNNNNNNNNNNNNNNNNNNNNNNNNNNNNNNNNNNNNNNNNNNNNNNNNNNNNNNNNNNNNNNNNNNNNNNNNNNNNNNNNNNNNNNNNNNNNNNNNNNNGACAUUCCCAGGCCCGUCAAGUCCAUCACCGCACGCAGUCGAAUCCCGAAAUUUCCGCCAUCUUUUUCCCCUCCCUUCCCUCUCUUUCCCUUCCUUCCUUCUUUUUCCUCCCCUUUCUUUCCCUUCUCUUUUUCCUUCUCUUUCUUCCUCCUCUCCCUUUUUCCUUUUCUUCUCUCUCUUCUUUUACUUCCCUGCCACCUUCCCACUGGCGCUGCACACCCCCCCACUGCCUGGCACGCGCGUCGGGCCGCGCGCCCGCGCCCGCGCCCGCCGCCGCGUCGCGCCGCCCGUGCCACGCCCGCUCGCGCCUUGGCGUCUAGCGCUUGGCUCGGUGCGUCGCGUCGUGUCGCCGGUCACCGGUCGCCGCCCCUGUGGCCUCGUCGACCACGCCGCCACGCCAUCCACGAGCUCCACCACUCCGGCACGCCACCGGUCAAAAGUCCGGCCACCAUCAUUACCUCGGCCCUCGCCCGCCCGUGCGCCGCCUAUAAAAGGGGGGAGCCGAGCCUUCACCUCCACACCCUCACCACGAGCACCUGGCCUUCCUCCACUCCCACCACCAGAGCGCCGACGACCAUCUUCCUCUCAACCUUCUGUUGCCUCCAGGAAGAAGAAGGGGUAAAUCCCUCUCCUUGCGAUCCAACCCACCAAUUUCCCUGAUUCGCGGACAAGUCCUUCCACCAUUCCAAAAAUAAUUACAGAUAGGCCCCUGCUCUCGCGGUUCAGUCCUAAACCCCGUUUUAAAGCCCAUAAUACUCCUUUAAACCGUCAUUUCAUGCGCCAAAUUUCCUCCAAUCCACCCCAAAUUCGACCACAGCCUCCUCUCAUAUAUUCCCGCCGAGGCUUAUCGAAAUUCCAUGAAAAUACCCUGUCUAUCUAUUUUCCGUUCAUGUUUCCUGUUCGGAGCUCAGCGGGUAAAAUCUUUUUCCUUUGUAUUUAUUGUGUGCUCGUUUGUGUGUGCCGUAGAUUGUGGAGUACCCGAGGAGGAGCGCGAGGAGGAGUUCGACCGCGAGCCCGAGCCCGAGGACCCGUACCGCGAGCAGGAGCUCCCGGAAGGCUUUGAGAACGGCAAGUCCAAUCUCACCCUUUGAUGCAUAUUUAAUACCCAGUUUUUCAGACACAACCUAUUGGCCUGUUUUAUAACAUGCAUAUUGUUUUAUCGCAAGACAUGGUUGGAUAGCCACCCCUUGAUUGUUAUGACUAUUCCUUGAUUGUCCCAUAUUUAUCUCUAAAUAUGAGUUACUCUGUUUAGAUGAUAAAUACUGCUAGAAUGCUUAGGAACUCAUUACCCAAAUUCAAACUUGACUACACCUGUUUACUCGGAAAAUAAUGUGUGAGUAUGUUUAACUGAGGAGUUGGGUUUUCGGGUGUAAAGAGAGGUGGUGGAUGAGAUGGAUGGGUGUUUCUUGUGUGGAACGCCGGGUUGAUAGGCUCGUACCUCAGUGGUUGGGCAGAGUGGGAGAUAUCCAUCUUGUCAUGGCUAAGGACCGAGUUGAUGUGUCAUCCUGCCUAAUUCCAUCAUCGUACAACCACUCGACCGUUGUAUGGGCAACGGCUUAGCAUAAAUCCCACUAGCUAAACUGCUAGGCUUCAGGUGUGCUGGUGAGCAACGGGAGGCCUUGGAAACGGACUAAGCUCUUGGUGACUUAGGUCCCGGUUACGGCCCCGUGGAUGGGUUGCUAACCCCUUGAGCGCUCCUAUGUUGACUAGUCAGUGUUGGCUAAGGUGGGUAAUGGCUUUGAUAGGAUCCGUACCGACACUAAGGUGAUCGCGAUACGGUUCCCUACUUGUGGGAAAAGUGUACAACCUCUGCAGAGUUAAAACCUAUCCGGGUAGCCGUGUCCACGGCAUUGGACGAGUUACGGCUCGGUCACACAACUAGCUUUUGGGGAUGACUGGUAUUUUUUUACCGCGUGUGUGGGUGUGUGGAGUUUUGGAAGUGUCCGGCAGGUGUGCCGUGCGCUACGGCGGACGGGGAGUCCGGUAGCGAUAAAACUUGGAUCCUUUGUGUAGGAUCAACCCCACUUGAUAUGUUGUUUACUAAAAAUGUUUUCCAUUAAACCGCUUUGAAAUGGAACCCCGCAUGUGUCUAAAAAGUCAGCUUUACUGCAAAUAAACCAUAGCUUAUUCCUUGAUUAUUCAUAUGCAUAUUCUUGUUGUAUCCCCCUCCGUGGAUGGGGUUGGACUUGCUGAGUACUUUUGUACUCACCCUUGUGUUGUUACUUCAGAGGAGGAUCCGGACUUCGUCGCCGAGGACUUUGAGUAGGAGGUUGCGUCUGCACCCAACGCUGCCUGUGGUGUUGGCCCUUUUGCAGGAUGCUUCCGCUGACGCUUAGCUCCGAUUGCAGCCCGGAGUCCGACUGGACCGCAACUUGGAUUUGUGUUGUUAUCGCUUUAGUCUUGCUUUGGGUGUGGCUUGCCCGCCCGCUCCUUCGGGAGCUGUACGGUUUCUGAACUAUCUGUUGAAUAAAUGUGUUAUCAGCCUCCUGGGACUGAUAAUUUGGAUCACAUUUAGUCUCUACUUAUGUGGGGACGCUUCACCGUGACAUACUUUGCCAAGUGUGUAGCGAAAACACUCGGCAAAAUAUUAUCUUUACCGAGUGUUUUCACUAGAUACUCGGCAAAGUACACUUAUAUUUCAUGUACACUUUUUCAAUAACGUGUUUUACUAACCUUUUUCUGAUAUACUUGGGAAAAACCUUGUCAAAUUCACUCAACAAUGGAUAUAUGAUUUUUCUAUUGAUAUUAUUCCAUUAUUUCAUUCAGUUAUAGCUCAAAUUGAAUUUAUAUCUAUUAAAAAUCAAUAAUUGCAUUUAAUAAAUAAAAAUACCAAACGGAUCCGAAAAAUUUCCAAAAUUUGACAUGAACCAAUCUAUGUUGUAUGUUGCCUGUACAAAAAGCUUUGAAGUCAAACCCCAAUUCAAGUGUCACUUGGACUCCAAAUCUUAUCGGAUCCUUUCUAACUUCUAUGAAUCCUUUUGGGAGAUGAGUCGGUUUGUAAGCAUCAUAUGUCAGAAAUUGGGCGAAACCUUCUCAAUUUUUUACCACAGCCUCCACAUAUAAUAUCAUGACACCUUGACAAAUCUUAUGAUUUUCAGACUUCGUUUGCUUUUUCUAGAAUUUAACAACCAUUCAACCACAUGUUCGUGAUCGUGUUUUCUAAAAAGAAUGUUCAAAAUUUCUUUUCAUUUCCUGGUUGAGACCUCAAUCCGGAUUGAAUAAUAUGAAUAUGAUUUUUUCACUGAUUUUAAUCCAUUAUUUAAAUCACUUGCAGUUAAAAUUUGACUUAAAUAAACAAAUUCCUAUUAAUGCCAUCAAUUCAUUAAAAAUGGCAAACAGACAAAAAAUAGACCAACUUUUAAGAUGGAUUACCAAAUGUCAUAUAUGGGGAGUAGAAAAAGUGUGGAGAGCAGAGGUGGAAAAAAAAGUUUUGCCUUUGCCAAGUGCCUACACAAACACUCAACAAACUUUGCGGAGUGCCUAUUGAAAACACUCAGCGAACUUCUGAGUUUGCCGAGUGUCUAGAGGGAGCACUCGGCAACCUACUUAUUUGCCGAGUGUCCGCGUCGGACACUCAGCAAAGUACUAACGGCUGGCACACUCCCCUAACGGACGGCGCACGUGCGAGCCAUGUGCUGGAGAUUUAUCGAGUGUCAAAUCGUUGCGAGUGUCGUGUGGAUGUUUGUCGAGUGUCUUAUUUGCGACACUCGGCAAAGCUAUUGUUUGCCGAGUGUAUUAUUUAUGCCGAGUGUCUUCCAGUAUACACUCGGCAAAUGAUGUCUUUGCCGAGUGCCCGACAUAAAGCACUCGGCAAAAAUUUUACACUCGGCAACGUUCCUGUUUCCGGUAGUGAGUGACCCGGGACUAAAGACCCCUCUUGUCUCUAAUUGCUUUAUUCCGGAUGGAUUUUCAGGAGAUUUGCUCCCUACCUAGGCAAGUUUUCUACUUUUCGCAAACCAGUUAGCCCAUUGUUGAUGGGACGCAUCACUAGAAACAGCUCGGGAUCCACUUGUCCAAUAAUCGAGAGGGCCUAUAUGGACCACGUGUGCGGAUCCCUAAUUAGGAAAAAAGAAUAAUGGAGUAGGACAUCUCCAUGCUCACCUAGUAGCCGCUGCUAGCUUGUGCGUGUGGAACACGAGUGCCGGCCCAGUUGGCGCUAAGACAUCGUACGUGCAUUAAGGCUACGAUCUCUUCCUUCUAACUCAUGCUUGUGCUAUUAUACAUUAUUGCAUGAUCAUCAAGAUAAGAUCGUAUAGUGACUGAGUGAGACAUGUGUGUACUAACGUGCAUUUAAGCCUCGAACUGUGUGUUGUUACGUGAGCUGCCUCCUCACCUCGCCUCUGAAUUAUUGAACCGUUUCCAACAGUGUUGGUCUCAAAUAAAUUUGACACCAAACAUAUUUAUGAAGAAGAGAGAAUAAUACUUGGAAUUGGAAAAAGUUUAUCUCUCUUUACAAUGGGGUAGGGCUCCCCUUUUAUAGUGACCCAUGAGCCACUUUACAUUUGGAAAAUAUCCUUCCUCAACCACUACAUUAAUUCCUAGGAUAUGCCGUACAUAAAGGUCAUUUGAGGUAACGUGUACAAAUUGAACUCUUCCACAUGGUCACGUUUCUCAUACCUCCUGUUUUCCAACCUCAGAGACAUCAUCUUCACGCCAAGUUGAUCAUCUAGCCUCAAGGCUCCAUCCACGAUCCGGAAUGAACGUCCAGCCUUGAGGCUCCUUCUUCGUUAAGCUUUGUUGAGAACUCAUAACCUCACAUAGUUCUCCUCACUGGUAGAGAAUUGACCUUUAGUCCCGGUUGGUAGGGUGCAUAUCUCUCGGAUAUCCAUCCGGGAUAAACCAACCGGGACAAAAGGGGGGGUCUUUAGUCCCGGGUCACUCAACCGAGACAAAAGACCCCCUUUUAUCCCGGUUGGUAAUACCAACCGGGAUAAAAGGGGUCACCCACGGCCGGCAGCUGCAAAAAAAAAAAAAUUCCUGAGCUCCCGGGAGGCCCCCCACACGCGCAAGUCACAAGUCACAAGUCACGCAAUUUUUCACGCGAAAUAUGCGCGUGCGCGGUUCGUGGGAUUCGAACCCACAACCUCCAGCCUCGCGCGUAGCUUCCUUGCCAUCCCACCUACACACCACAUCUGACUAUGUAGGGGAUACUAUCCUUUUGUAUUAACUCGUGGGGGACCCUUUUAUCCCGGUUGGAAACACCAACCGGGAUAAAAUGCCUCUCAGAGUCUUUUUUUCCCACUAGCCUUUGCAACCGGGAUAAAAGGUCCCGGUUGGUGAGCCCCCCACCAGUGACCGAGUUUUAGUCCCGGUUGGUGAACCUUUUGUCCCGGGCCAACUUUAAACCGGGACAAAAGGGGGCGGAUGGAAAGUCGUUUCUCUACUAGUGCCUCCGAGUAUUGUUCCCGACUUAGAACACUCGAGGUUUAGCUCAGUUGGAGUUUAGCUAUUACUGUUGCCAGUCACCAGCCUCGAGCCCCUCCAGAAGCAAGGUGAUGCGAGAGUACAAGUUUUACUAUUAAAGGUGUUUCCAUAUAAUGUGCGAGGUUAAAGCACUUGCAGCAAAAGCGUGGAGCUGCUUUCAACCAGAGUGCAAUAAUGCAGCCGUGCCCGUCUUGGUCUUGGUCUCCGCCUGAACUAUAGCAGAUGCUGGCAGCGGUAGCAGGGUGGUCCAUUAUAUCUAUGGAUGGCAAUGGUCAGAUUCGGAUGGAAUCAAAUUCGAAUAGCACUUUUUACCACGUACUAAUUCAAAUCCGAAUUCGGAUUCGGAUGUUCUCGAAUGCGAAUACAAAAUGGAUGGUUCGAAUUCGAAUACUUAGCGGAUUUUUGCAUAAUAUUAAUCGAAUAGAAUUCAUUAAAUUUAGCUAAGAAAUUAAAUUUUCCAAAUUCAAAUACUUUGCGGAUUUUCGAAUACAAAUUUUUUCAUACGAUCUCGGUGAAUACAAACUUUAUAACUAAGUUGCAUAUUUAGAUUGUAUCUAACACUUUGUACUUGACAUCCUUUUCAUUUAAAAUUGUUUAAUAGCUCAAAACAUUAUUCUAAGCUCUCUAAUUUCAAAAUCUUGAAUUUUAAAUUUUUCAAACGACCUCGGAUGCAAACAAACUCUAUAUCAAAGUGGUAGUGCUUAAUGAGAUAUAAAUUUUGUAGUUGAUAAGUUUUUCAGUUGAAAUCAUAUAGUUACCGCAAACAUACAAGUUCUUCAUUUGAUGUUAAGGAUUGGAAGGGUUAAGUUUGAAGAAUAUAUUUUUUUACCACAAACUUUUUCAUAUGAUCUUGGAUGAAUAUGAACUUUAUUUUAAAGUUACAGAUUUAGAUUAGAUCAAAACCAUUAUAGUUUACAAAUUUUUCAUUCAAAAUUAUUAGUAGCUCAAAAUGUUAUUAUAAGCUCUCUAAUUUCAAAAUCUUGAAUUUUAAAAUUUUCAAACGACCUCAGAUGCAAACAAGCUCAAUAUCGAAGUGGUAGUGCUUAACGAGAUAUAAAAUUUUGUAGUUUCAUCUGAGAUCAUUUAGCAGUCACAAACAUACAAGUUUUUCAUUUGAUGCUAAGGAUUAGAGAGAUUAAAUUUGAAGGUUGUAUUUUUUAAUACAAACUUUUGCAUACGAUCUCGGAUAAAUACAAACUUUAUAUCAAAAUUGUAGACCUCCAUGAGAUUUUAAACUUUGCAGUUUACAUAUUUUUCAUUCGAGAAUGUUUAGUGGUCCAAAAAUGUAUUAUAAGUUCAGAGAAGAAACACACGUCUAGGCACAUCAUCAAUCCACAACUUUCAAACCCAGCAUUCCUAUUGACUCACACCCUUCCCUUUCAACUUGUCAAGCUUAUCUCCUCCCACUCCUCCAUGGUUCACUCCACCUACCCCUCCCUCCCUUCGCCCCAGCGGCGGCCUAACUCCCAGGACGGUGGCGUGCGGGGCCCGAGCAUCCCUGGCCUCUAGUGGCGUGGCGGGGCGGCAUCCAGCAGCAGCGGCGGGGCUCGGCCUCCGGUGGCGCGCGGCCAGCCCGACCUACCCGGUCAGAGGUGGCGCAGCGGUGCGCGGGCCUCCCCGACCAGAGCCGGUGGGGAGCGGUGCGCGGGGAGGACCUCCCCAGCCGGAGGUAGCAGGGCGCGACCUCCCCUUCCGGAGGUGGCUCCCUGUGGGGGCGCGGCCGUGACAGCUAGCGAGGCAAUAAUUGCUUCCGUACGCAGCAAUAAUUGCUCGUGCGACACCGUGGUACAGUACUCCCUCCGUUGCAGUACACUGGUCCAGGCGUCAGGACACUGGUCCUGCCCUCGUGGUUCACGCGCAUCAGGCCAGCAGACAAGCUAUGAUGUUGCCCUCGUGGUUCACGUGCAUCAGGCCAGCAGACAAGCUAUGAUGUUGCCAACAGUGGUCAGUACACAGAUCUCGCUAUCAGUCGGAUCCAAGGGCGCAGGCAUUUGCAUUGUGGUUGUGUUUCUUGGAACAUGGAGAUGUCAUUGUGAUUGUCAGGGACCAUGCAUGCCGAUUUCAUAUUAUUAAUAUUUAUUUUUUCAAUGGUUGUUGAAACUAUAUAGUUACUCCAAUAUCACGUUUCCGAUUAUAAAAGUUAACAUAAAGAGAUCGGAAGGGAGAGCCGGCAUAAUGAAGCCGACGCGUAUAAUAAGCACUACAGCCGGCAUUUAUACAAACGGGUACGCAUAGUAAAAACUAGAAUUUAUAAAUAAAUGAAGAUAUUCAAAUAUCUGCCUUACUUUUUUCAUUAAUUUUGCAUGAAUAAGGGAUGAUUCAUUAAUCAUUAUUGAACAAAUUGGCACACAUGCUUCGUGCCCGCGUUGGGAGCAUUAUGCGAUGCCACCGAGCUGCACCACCACGGUAGAGGGCCUGUUUGGGAAGGGGUGUUAAAGUUUAACACCCCCCAUUUAACACAUUUUUAACAAAAUGGCUGCCAAACACUUGUGUUAAAAGAGUAGUGUUAAAAUUUAACACCUCUCUUUUCAUAAACACAUGGAGGGGGUGUUAAAAUUUGCUAAAUGUGUUAAAAGUGGUCCCCUCCCCACUUAUUCCUUGGUUGCCCCCCCCUCUCUCCUCCUCUCUCUCCUACCCGCCGCAUUUAAGAGCAUUAUUGAGGGGUAAUGCAGUCCUUUUCCAACAAAAGUGUUAAACUUUAACAACCCAUCCAAACAUCCCACAUGUGUUAAAGUUUAACACCUCAUUUGAGGGUGUUAAAGUUUAACACCCUGUUAAACUUUAACACCCCUUCCCAACUUAACACCCCUUCCCAAACAGGCCACAAGCAACACCACCGGCUGACUGUGCUAGCGGGGAGCACCCUCACCGCCUGCCCGUGGGGACUUCUUCUGCCGGCCAUCGUGUCUUUGUAGGACCGCCGCGCGAGCCUGUGAGCCACCGGUGGCCGUGCGCCCAAGGGCCAUCACCAUGCCACCUGAGGAUGCUGUCUACCCGGUGCCGCGUGCCUCUGCUAGCUGCCUGCACCUGGGCCGCCGCUGGUCGCCUGCACAGCCACGCGUUAUAGCCGCCCCCCUGUGCUGGGCCACCCCAUUUCGUGUUGGAAGAACUGCCACAGUCUCGCGCACUGGGGUUUUGCUAGUGACGACCAUAGCCUCCAAGAUCAAAUGAAAAAGUUGGCACUCAAAAUAUACAUCCAUUAAUCUAGUCGUGCUAAUCCUUACCACCAAAUAAAAACUAGCAAGUGUUGUGUGUUUGUGACCCUAAACGAUCACAAAUGAAUAACUUAUGGGCGUUGCUAGCCUAUAAGUUAUGGGCGUUUGUGACCCUAGUCGCGCCGGGGUCUUGCUGGUGACGACCAUGGUCUUCGCGAUAAAGUAUUAAGUCUCAUCGAGCUCUACAAUUUUGAUAUAAAAUUUCUAUUCAUCCGAGAUGAAAUGAAAAACAAAUGAAAAAAUCCGAAGUAUUAGGCUUCAUCGAGCUCUACAAUUUUGAUAUAAAAUUUCUAUUCAUCCGAGAUCAAAUGAAAAAAUCCGAGAUCAAAUGAAAAGUUGGAACUCAAAACAUACAUCCAUUAAUCUUGAUAUAAAAUUUCUAUUCAUCCGACAUCAAAUGAAAAAGUUGGCACUCAAAAUAUACAUCCAUUAAUCUAGUCGUGCUAAUCCUUACCACCAAAUAAAAAAACUAGCAUGUGUUGUGUGUUUCUGACCGUAAACGAUCACAAAUGAAUAACUUAUGGGUGUUGCUAGCAUCCCGGACGCUAGCAUCGGACGCAUGAGCAGCCGUCCGAUCGGGUCCGACACCACUUCACGAUCUGUCUUAAAAAAAAGUUCCACCGAAACAUUUUUCCAUGUUGCAUGAAAUACCCCACUAUCCAUCGCCAGGUCUACAGGAAGCACCACCUUCCAAUCUGCUGCUCACCCAAGUAAAUAGGGGCAUUAAAAUUGCAGAAAUAUGUCACAUAUCCUUGUCAAAUUAAACUAAAUCGCAACAUCCAAAAAUUUCUUACACAAAACCAUGAAACAUAUCGAUUAGAUAGGUGUAACAAGAUGGAAUAUGGUAUGCAACAUAUAGAUUCCGAAAAACGGAUGAAACAUUAUGUAACGAUUGUUGAAACAGUCGAGAAAAAUAGAUGUAACGAUUAAAAUUUAGAAAAGAAGCUUUAUGCAAAUUGCAAAAAGCUGAAAUAAGUGGUUGAAACAUUUCGAAUCACCAAAUGCCACAUUUGAAAUGGCUACAUGAAACAUCACGAAAUCAAUUGCAACAGUUGAAGAUGAAAACAUUCAAAUGCCUUGCCUUUCUCCAGAUUUGACCCUCCAAGCAUGAGUCCAGCCAUUUGCACAUUAGAACCUUGGGAGGAGCUCACCAGAGAACAACAAGACCGUGUUCUCCAACAAUUUUCUGAUCAAACUGCAACAUACAAAACAAAGCAUUGCAACAUCUGGCAUCACGAGCUACAACAUCAACAAGUUAGGAUCAGGAGAAAGAGGGAAAACACAAGCCUAACAACCCCAAGACGAAACUGAUGUACUCAUCAUACAUCACGGCUUGCCGUGCACAGAGAUGAAGGCCGCCAAGCUCAAUCGAAACAGAGACGACGUGAUAGUGCUCCAGAUCGACGGUCCCCAUCAAUUGUUGCGUACACUGCCAAAAGCAAUGGAAGAAGAAGGGUCGUCCCUGCUCGACCUCCGUAGAUGAGCGCAGAUUGGGGGAAACUGUAUAGAGUGCCGCUGACAGCACAGGCGAGGGGGCUCAGGCUUGAUUCAGGGUGAGGGUAGCGGGUAGCAUGAGGAGACAGUCAGGUUUCAUAGGAGAGAGGUGGAGGAGAGAGCUCUGGUGACUCGGUGAGGAGGGUGCGGCACGGAGAAAGGUGUGUAGCUGAAGGAGCUACAUGGUUGGGGGGAGGCGAGCGUAGAGACCAGAGAGGGAAAAAAAGCAUGGGGAGGAGACGAUAUGUGGUUGAUGGUGCGGGCACGUGGCGAGCGCACCGUACGAAAAUUUUGCUCGCGUCGGAUGACUGAUGUGAAGCAUUACCCAAUCUUAAUUAUCUCCCAUAAUCCAAAACUCACAAAAACAUCAAAAAUCCGCUGAGAAUAAAUUAAGUAAACCAUGCACACACAGAUAAUAAAAUUGCUAAUAAGGCCAGAGACAAUACAUAAACAUAUUGGACUGUUCAUGACACAUAUCACGGUGGAUAGUGUCUGUGUCCUUAUUACAAGCAAUGAGAGAUGCUUGUCACCACACACGUGCGCACAGAUGCACGACAUACAUAUAGUUGAGACCAACAGAUGGAUCAACUAGAGGUCACCCCAUAUGGUGAACAAUUUAUUGGAGAUAAACAUUAACAUAACUUGGCCAUAGCUUGAAGCAUAGCAACAUAUGCCUAUGAAUGGCGUUCAUGCUAUCGUUUUAGGCUUGUCCAGCUUCUUUCAUCUUAGCAAGCACUUCCAUUUCUACCAUCUUAGCAGCAACUGUCAAAUUGAGAUAUGGAAAUCCCAUUAGCGCACGAGUUAAUUUUGUAGUUGAAAUAGAGUGCAAGAUGUCUUCAUGAUGUAAAUAACAUGCCUGAAGUUGUGAGAUGGGAAGUGAAGUCAACAAAUUACAUUAACGGAAAUGCAUGGAAGGCCACACAUACGUAUUAGUCCAUAAUACGCUACAAAGCUUGUAUGUACAUAUAGCAAAUUAAAUGCAUUAAUUGAAUAGAGUGAGUUUAGUGAAUUUACCAGAAUCGUCCAGAAAACAUGGGAAACAGCAAGUGUGCUUGCAGACUGUGUCGGAGCCACCCACACGAAUACAAAGCUGACAACAUGCUUGUGCCUCGUGGGAUACGCAGCAGCCGCACUGUGCCGCGGUGGCCGAGUUAACAUUGAGGCACAAGAUGACCAGGCACAUGAUCACCAUCAAAGUGGUAGUCCUCUUUCCCUCCAUUGCCUCCUGUCGCUGCUACGUUCCUUGGUUACUAGUAAGUUUAUUGGUUUUGUGUUGAGAG